rnacentral:lncRNA from 1 species
GCCUUUCUUUGACUUUCUUUUUCGCCUCUUCUCAUGUUGGUUUUCAACCAAAUUCACCAACCAUUUCGGUUUUCCAGUUUGGAAAACAACAUAUCCCACCAACAUUCCGAACACUACUCCGCAUCCAUAACCUAUCAACACCACUUUCCAACCAAAAGUAAUGUUUGAUUUUGAGCCAUCUUUUUCAAGCACAUCUGGAGGUGUUGGCGCAAUGAUGUUGCAACCUUUCGAGACCGGAAACCCACAUAUGAAUCAUUUCCAAAUGUGUUGAAUUGUUUGCCUUGAGGAAUCUGACCAUGGAGUUGAUUUUCAGAAACAUUUAAGGACAAAAGAAAUGGCAGAUCUACCAAUCUAUUUGGAAUGGUUCCAGACAACCUGUUUGAAGAUAGUGUUGGCACAUAAUUAAAUUAACCUUGCACAAAUAAAUUAUGAAAAGUUAGAAGAGUGAAGAGACUUGAAUAUGAAAAGUGAAAAAACUUGAAUAUGAAUAGUGAAGAGACUUGAAGAUGAAAAGUUAAGAGGCUUGAAUAUGAAAAGAUACACACAUGCAUGAAUAGUCACAACUCCUAGCAUAUAGUGAUAUAGAUGAAUAGUCACUUACAACUCCUAUAUAAAGAGUUGUAUGUGAUGAAGAAUUAUUAACUUUGUGUGCUUGAAAUAAAAGAUUAUUUGAAAGAAUUUUUUCAUACAAAAUUUAUUUCUCUUCUCCAUUAUAUUCUUUAUCAUUUUCUUUGUUUUAUUUCUCCAAAUAUUAAUCAUUCAACUACAAAUUGGUAUCAAAGCCUUGUUCAAUCGAAAUGAACAAUUCUAUUCCUCUUUCUUCCGUUCCCCAAUUAACCAAAGAAAAUUAUGGCAAAUGGAGUAUCCAAAUGAAGGCUCUUCUUGGAUCUCUAGAAGUUUGGGAGAUUGUUGAAAAAGGUUAUAAUGAAGUUGAGGGUGAAGAGGAGGAAGGAUUAACACAAGUUCAAAAAGAGAGUCUAAGAAAAUCAAGGAAGAAAAAUCAGCAAGCCUUAUUUUGGAUAUAUCAAGGAGUUCAAUCAUAUGAAGCGGCUUGGGAAAAAAUAGCUUGUGCCACCACGGCAAAACAAGCAUGGGAAUUUUUACAAAAUUCAUUCAAAGGAGAUGAAAAGGUGAAAAGAGUUCGGUUGCAAACUCUUUGAGGAGAGUUUGAAAGAUUGCAAAAAAUAGAGUCAGAAUCAGUUUCUGAUUACUGUUCACGGGUUUUGUCCAUAGUCAAUCAAUUAAAAAGAAAUGGUGAAACUAUGGAUGAUAUUCGUGGUGUUGAGAAAAUCCUCCGUUCUUUAGAUUCCAAAUUUGACUACAUUGUGGUUGCCAUAGAAGAAUCAAAGGACUUGAGUACCAUGACUAUUGAUGAACUCACAGGUUCGUUGCAAGCCCAUGAAGAAAGAUUAAACAAGAAGAAAAAGGAAGUAGAUCUAGAUCAAGCACUUCAGUCAAAGUUGUCUCUAAAUGAGAAUAAGGGAGAUUUUAAAAAUCAAAGAGGGAGAGAUCGUGGUCGUGGAAGAGGAAGAAAUUUUAGAGGAAGAGGCUCAAAUGCUCGUGAAAGAGGUGAAGAUGUAAGCAUGGAGAAUGGAUGGAAAGAAGCCAACCAAAGUCAAAAUUUUAGAGGAUCACAAAGAGGACGUGGACGUAGAAAUCAAAGAGGAAGAGGUCGUGGCUAUUUUGAAUGUUAUAAUUGUCGCAAACCUGGUCAUUUGGCAAGUGAAUGCUGGUACAAAGAAGAAGAGAAAAAUGAAGCUAAUAUAGUACAAAAUAAUCAAGAGCAAAAGCAAGAAACUUUGUUGCUCGUAUCUCAUGGUGGAGAGAUUGAUGAUGUCUGGUACAUAGACAGUGGUGCUAGCAAGCAUAUGACAGGUAACAAAAAUUUAUUUUCGAAGUUCUUUGAAUCUGAUUGUGGAGAAGUAAAAGUAGGAGAUGGCAAAGCUUACAAAGUUAGCGGUGUUGGUGAGUUGGAGUUCAAAACAAAGCAAGGAAGGGUAGAGAAAAUGUCUGAAGUUUAUUUUGUUCCUGGUCUUAAAAAUAAUCUGCUUAGCGUUGGGCAUCUCUUGAAGAAGGGGUAUGAUAUUCAUUUCCGAGACAUGGCUUGCUAUUUAUCAAAGAAAAAUCAGGUUGUUGCUAGAGUUGGAGUGGCAUCAAAUAAUCUUUUCUCUCUUACCCUUCAAAAUCAGAAUAUGUCUUGUUUUAUUGGUGCUCAUAAAGGAAUUUCAAAGUUAUGGCAUGAUAGAUAUGGACAUUUAAACUAUGGAAAUUUGGAGAUGCUUUCAAGGAAGAUGAUGGUUAGAGGUUUACCAAAAAUCGAUCGGCUUGAUGAUGUUUGUGAAGCAUGUCAACUUGGAAAGCAACAUAAAAUUGCUUUUCCUUCUCAAUCCUCGUGGAAAGCAAGAAGACCAUUGCAACUUAUUCACUCAAAUCUUUGUGGUCCAAUGACAGUUUCAUCUUUAGGAGGUAAUCGUUACUUUAUCUCUUUCAUUGAUGAUUACUCAAGAAAGUUAUGGGUGUAUUGUGUCAAAGAAAAAUCAGAGGCUUUUCAGAGAUUCAAAGAUUUCAAGGCAGAAGUGGAGAACUUUACUGGGUUGAAAAUUAACACCUUGCGUACAGAUCGUGGAGGUGAAUAUUUUUCAAAAGAAUUUGAGAAAUAUUGCCGAGAUAGUGGCAUCCGGCAUGAAAUGACAGUCCGCCAUACACCUCAGCAAAAUGGUGUGUGUGAAAGAAAGAACAGAACAAUUAUGGAAAUGGCUAGAUGUCUUCUUAAUAAGAAGAGGUUAUCAAGAAGAUUUUGGGCUGAAGUUGUUUCCUGUGCAGUUUAUCUUAUAAACAGAUCACCGACAAGAAGCUUGGAGAAUUACACACCACAUGAGGCGUGGUAUGGUAUAAAGCCUAGUGUUAGUCAUCUUAGAGUAUUUGGGAGUGUUGCCUACUCUCUAUUCCAGAUGCAAUGAGAAGCAAGUUGGAUGACAAGUCAGAGAAAUGCAUUUUUAUUGGCUAUAGUGAAAGAAGUAAGGCAUACAAGUUGUAUAAUCCGGUGACAAAGAAGAUUGUGAUAAGCCGAGAUGUUCGGUUUGAUGAAAAUUCCAUGUUUGAAGAUAUGGAAGUUGAAAAGGAAAAUUUGCCAAUUUUUCCUUUUGAACUUGAAGAAGAAGAAGAGGCAGUAAUUGAGAAUGCUGAAGAUGAUGCUCAAGUAGAAAAUCCUCCUGCUUCCCCAUGUUCUUCAUCAAAUUCUUCUUCAUCCAGCCCGAUCCGAAAAACGAGAAGCAUCCAAGAGUUAUAUGAUGUAACGGAUGAAGUUGUGCAAAAUGAUGCUGUAUUCUUUGCCUUCUUUGCAGGAGAAGAUCCAAUUUCUUUUGAUGAUGCAUAUCAAGAAGAAAUAUGGAGGAAAGCCAUGAAAUAAGAGAUUUUCUCAAUUGAAAACAAUGAUACAUGGGAACUCACAGAUUUACCGCCGCACAAGAAUUCAAUUGGAGUCAAAUGGGUGUACAAGACAAAGAUGAAUCCGAAUGGCUCUAUCAACAAGUACAAGGCAAGACUGGUUGCAAAAGGAUACAAGCAAAAGGAAGGAGAAGAUUUUACAGAGGUAUUUGCUCCAGUUUCAAGACUUGAGACAGUUCGGUUACUUAUUUCUCUUGCUGCCCAAAAUAAUUGGAAAAUAUUCCAAAUGGACGUAAAAUCUGCGUUUUUGAAUGGUGUUCUCAAAGAAGAAGUCUAUGUUGAUCAACCACCAGGGUUUGUCAAAAAAGGAGAAGAAGAAAAAGUUUACAAGUUGAAGAAAGCUUUGUACGGGUUGAAGCAAUCACCCAGAGCAUGGUACAGCCGCAUCGAUUCUUAUUUUCAGAAGUGUGGAUUCCAGAAAUCUCCAUAUGAGCAUACUCUCUACAUCAAAGGCAAUUAUCAAGGAAGAUUCAUGGUUGUAAGUCUCUACGUUGAUGAUCUUAUUUUCACAGGAAAUGAUGUGAAGAUGUUGAAAGAAUUUCAGCACUCAAUGAUGGCAGAAUUUAAGAUGACAGAUUUGGGAGAACUUCAUCAUUUUCUUGGCAUUGAAGUUCAUCAAUCCGAGAAAGGAAUUUUUAUUUCACAAGAGAGCUACGCAAAGGAAGUUCUAAAAAAAUUCAUGAUGGAAAAUGCGAAUCCAGUCUCUACUCCAUGCAUUACAGGUCUGAAGUUAUCUAAAGAGGGUGAAGGAAAGCUUGUCAAUUCCACCAUAUUCAGAAGUUUGGUUGGGAAGUUGAUGUAUCUGACUUCGACAAGGCCUGAUAUCGUGUAUGUUGUUAGCUUGGUAAGUAGAUUCAUGGAGAAACCUUACUCCAAUCACUGGGAGGCUGCCAAGAGAAUAUUGAGAUAUGUGAAGGGAACCAUUGAUUAUGGAAUUUUCUAUAAAUCUAAUACAUUAGUUGAUCUCAUUGGUUAUACGGAUAGUGAUUUAGCAGGAAGCAUUGAUGAUAGCAGAAGCACUUCUGGUUAUGUUUUUCACCUUGGUAGUGGUGCAGUUUCAUGGAGUUCAAAGAAACAAUCAAUUGUGGCGCUUUCGACUAUAGAAGCUGAAUAUAUCGCUGCAUCUUAUGCAGGAUGUCAAUUGAUUUGGUUACGUGGAAUUUUGGAAAGUCUUAAGCAGAAGCAAAGCAAGUCAACAAUUUUGUUUUGUGACAAUAGUUCUACUAUUUCGGUCACAAAAGAUCCAAUUCUUCAUAGAAGGACAAAACACAUUCGCAUUCGAUAUCACUUCUUGAGAGAACUAGUGAAUAAUGGUGAUGUUCAAGUUGAAUAUUGCAAGACGGAAGAUCAGAUGGCUGAUAUCUUCACAAAGCCUCUAAGUGGACAAGUCUUCAAGAAAAAUGUUGAAAGGUUGGGAGUUCAAAGCAAGUUUAAUUUAAGGGAGGCAUUGUUGGCACAUAAUUAAAUUAACCUUGCACAAAUAAAUUAUGAAAAGUUAGAAGAGUGAAGAGACUUGAAUAUGAAAAGUGAAAAAACUUGAAUAUGAAUAGUGAAGAGACUUGAAGAUGAAAAGUUAAGAGGCUUGAAUAUGAAAAGAUACACACAUGCAUGAAUAGUCACAACUCCUAGCAUAUAGUGAUAUAGAUGAAUAGUCACUUACAACUCUUAUAUAAAGAGUUAUAUGUGAUGAAGAAUUAUUAACUUUGUGUGCUUGAAAUAAAAGAUUAUUUGAAAGAAUUUUUUCAUACAAAAUUUAUUUCUCUUCUCCAUUAUAUUCUUUAUCAUUUUCUUUGUUUUAUUUCUCCAAAUAUUAAUCAUUCAACUACAGAUAGGUCCAACCAUUCAAGACUUGUCAAAUCCCCUACUGAGGUAGGGAUACCACUAUUAAGGUUAUUAUGAGAAAGGUUGAGCCCUUUCAGUAAGUUAAGCUUCCCAAUAACCUUUGGAAUCUCCCCUUCAAACUGAUUGCUUGAUAGAUCAAUGAUCACCCACAUAGUGAAAAUUUUCACCAAUUCCACGUCUUGUCCUUUCAUAACAAUUCCAAUGGAAUAGGCAUAGAAGUCAUCUCCAUCAUUCACCCCCAUGUACGACACUGUACUACUAACCUUCUCUAGAUUUAUGAUAGCCUUGAAGCUGUUGAUGUAUCUCACUAGUAGGGGUCCAGAAAAAUAAUUACUUGAGAGGUCAAAAAUUUGGAUUUUAGAGAAAAAAGGGCUAGACUUGGAGUUAUUGACACACAGGGAACCAUGCAUUUGAUUUGACUUUAGUACAAGAACUUGUAGCUGUGGAAGACUUCCCAACCAAUGAGGAAAUGUAUCAUUGAUCUUGUUGUUACCAAGAUCUAGUACUUCCAGACCUCUACAAUUAAGGAUGGAUGGUGUCAAAGGCCCUCCUAACAGAUUUCCAUUUAAAUUGAAAUUACUCAAUUGGCAUCCCAUUGCAAAUGUUGGAGGAAUCGUCCCAUAGAACUUGUUCUUCUUCAGAUUCAAGAAUUGAAGGCUGUUGCUCAAAUUUCCAAAACACUGCGGAAUUGUUCCACUCAAGUAAUUGUGGGACAAAUCAAGAAUUUGAAGAUAAGUGGCAUUGCAUAUUAAUGAAGAGACCUCUCCAUUGAAACAAUUAUUUGAGAUCAAAAAGACAGUGAUGGUCGAAGCUGGAAUCGGAAGAUUUCCACUGAUCAAAUUGGAGCUUAAGUCAAGAACAUCAAUAUUCUUCCAUGGAAAGUGCUCAGCUUCUGUCAAAGAGUUGUGAAAUACAUUUAAGUAAGUCAAAGAGCCAUUCCCCACCUCUUGCAUCCACUAUGGAAUCUUGCCUUUAAUUUUGUUGCAAGAGAGGUCUAAGCUUUCCAAACUUUUAAGCCCUUUUAAAAAUUGGGGGAAUUCACUAAGAUUGCAAGAUGACAAAAAUAACCAUUCAAGAUUUCCACUGAUCAAAUUGGAGCUUAAGUCAAGAACAUCAAUAUUAUGACGAUAUAUAAGUUUCCCUUUAUUUUUUAAAAAAAAACCUCGUCUCGAGAUAUCGAAAGGUCAUAUCCAAUGAGUUAGGACACAACGUUUUGAAUUCCCGAGAUAAGCUUUAAUUUGAAAUUUUUAUAUUUUAAUUAAAAAAUGAUACUCAGUUACUUAAAUUCAACGAGGAAAAUUGGAGCCCAGUAAGUUAGGGCACAUUCUUCUCGAAAAUCUUGGAUACCGGGUAUUACGUUAUUUUGAAAACCUUUGAAUAAAACGAUUUCUAUACUUUGAUUAAAUGCAACCUUUUAAACGAAUAAAAUGCGAUGGAACAAUAACAUACAACCCGAAGUGAUAAUUCGUAAACUAAAAUAUAUGCUAAUGAUUGACAAGGAAUCAAUGAAUACGAGUAAGCAAUACAAUACAUCAUAUAAGAGCAACAAUCUCAUAUCCCACAUUAUGCAAAUACUAACGUCCAUAUUAGCAAGCUAAAUGAAUUAAAAGUUAAUUAAAGAACAGCAAGCAAAUUAAUGUAAAUCUAAUAUAACAAGCUUUAAAAUAAAAUAAAAAUAAAAAUCAUGAAAGAGAGGAAAGUGCUAAGGGAUAAGAUUGAAGGCCCGUAAUAUGAUCGCAAGACAAAGAAGCACGCUCUGUUAUGGAAAAAGAGUUCUUGAACUGGAUUAAUGAAGAGCAGGAGUGAGAUCCUGAAGAAGAAAAAGAAGCAUAAAGAUGGGGAAAAAAGAGGAAUAGGGAGAGAAAGAGAUAGGAGGCCAUGUUAUGUUUGUAGAGGAAGAAGGAUAGGAAUGGUAUUUAUAGGCAACAAAUAAUACCACAACAUUGGUGUUACAGUCUUUUUUUUCUUUUACAUUGAAAUGCUACAGAUAUUAGAUUUUCAAAAUAUUUGUAUUUUUCACAAUCAUCAACACUUAGUCGUCAUUUUACCAUAUAUUUUUCAUUCUUUUUUUUUUUAACAAAAUCUUGUAUAUCAUUUGGACUCGCUAAACAACUAAAAAAAUAAAGAUUGAUGAGAUUACAAAGUAGAUUGACUUAGUCUUCUUCCCUAUAACAUGUAAAGAAUGUAUGUGUCUAUUCAAUUGCCUGUCAACCAAAGCUUAUUAAUGUGGAAAUUCUUUUCCACACAAAAGAACAAAAUUGUGCUCUAUUCAGCUACGUUUGAGGAAGGAGACGGCUGGAAAUUUAAUCCACCGAUUCCAUAAAAACGUGUAUAUUUAUUUAUAAAUAUAUAUAUAACCUCAUGAUUCAAAUCUAAAAUCUCAUUUGUUAUAAAUUCUUAUAAAUUUAUUUGGGAAUAGUUAUUUUUCAUUCGUUAAUUAUUUCUCUUUUAGCCGUGAAACUUAUAUGGUUCGUUAAAUCGCCCCAAAAAAUGAUAAAAAAGAUUAACAAAACUAGCCCCUACGUGGCUGAUGUUGACCCUUAGUAGUUAAUGGCAACUCCUAUGUAAUUGUUAACAGAUACCACAGCAACAAUGUUUGUUGACGUGACAAUGCCACAUGACCAAUAAUCGUUGUCAUGGUAGUGCCACGCCGUCACCCAUUGAUGACAUAUUAACCUUCGAGUUAAACUCAAAUUGCUCUUUCCUUUGUUAUAAAUUAAGAGUAUAACUAAUUUUGAUAAGAAUAGUUACUUUUCAUUAACUCAGUUUAAAGGACUAUAACACGUAAAGUUUGGUCUAUUGCAGAAUUCACAUGCAAUGCGGGAUAUUUACAUUUUGAAGAAUUCAACACAUAUAUGGGAAUUUUUGUAUUUCCACAAUCAUAAUUUUGUUAGUGAUCAACAACUACUUCCUCCUUACCAUAUAUUUUUCAUUCAUAAAAUUGAUUACUUUUUUUAUCAAAGAAGUAAAAUAAUUAACAUUCUUAAGAUUACAAAGUCUUCUUCCUUAUAACACGUAAAGUUUAGUUCCAAAUAAUUUUCCACAAAAAAAAGACCAUCAAUUGUCGAUUGACUAUACUUUAACUCCAAAAAAAAGACUAAGACUAUCAAUUGUCUAUUGACUACACUUUAACUCGACAAAAAAGGACUAAGACUAAGACUUUCAAUUGUCUAUUGACUUCACACUUGCGGUUGCUUCCUCCUAUCUCUCUCACCCAAACUUAAUUUAGAAGCAAUGGGGAAAUUUUGGACAUUUGGGCCACAAUGAACAAUACUUCCACACCAUUUGCAGUAUUGACUACGUUUACUUGAGGGAAAACAAAGACAUGAAUGCUGGAAAUUUUAACUAGUUUGUACCGUCAAUGAAGCUACGUACCUAAAAGCCUUUUAGGAUAUCAAUUCCUGUAAUUGGAUUAAUCUCAUCGUUGCUGCAAUCUUUUGACAGUGUAAUCGAAUCUUAAAUAUGUUACUCUGCAAUGCUGUUGUAAAAAUUACUCUUAAAAUUGUCGAUAGAUAUAUAGGUUUGGCACAAAAUUAAGAAUACACAAAGGCAGGUUGAAUUAUUCCAUGUUUGAACAUAAAUUCAUAUGGCAAAAGGGCCCAAACCAUACCUUAUGUUCAUGAAUUCUCAUCAUCACAUGUUUAUAAAUGCAUCUCAAAACUUGAAUAAUUGAAUCUUUUGUAAUUCUACAUGUAUUUUUUUUUAUGGUGAGCAGUAUAAUGUUUACUAAAAAUUGAAAUUCAAGAAAGAAGACAUACAUAGUUGCACCAUACAAGUUGUUACACUCGAACUAAACCCUUACAAAUAGUACGAGAUGCAAUGAAAUACAGAGGAAUUGGUACAAUCAUAAAGACAGACACAUACCAAUGCAACUUUUCACCAUAGGAAAAACUUUCUGACAGACUACUAAACAAGAAAUUAUGAAGACACAGCAGAAAUGCUUUGACUUCUUUUGCACCAACUAGAUCCUUCUUCAUCCAUUGAUGCGAUUGCUAUAUUUUGGCUUUCUUCUUCGCCUCUUCUCAUGUUGGUUUUCAACCAAAUUCACAAACCUUUUCACCUUACCGGUUUGGAAAACAACAUAUCCCAUGGCCAUUCCAAACACUACCCCGCAUCCACAACCUAUCAACACCACUAUCCAACCAAAAGCAAUGUUUGCUUUUGAGCCAUCCUUUUCCAGCACAUUUGGAGGUGGUGUCUCAUUGAUGCUGCAACCUUUGGAGACUGGGAAUCCACAUAGUCUCUGUUUCCUUCAUAUGAAUUGUUUCGAAAUGUAUUGACAAUCUGACCAUGGAGUUGAUUUUCAGAAACGUUUAAGAAGAAAAGAAAUGCCGGAUCUGCCAAUAUCUCUGGAAUUAACUCAGUUCAAAUGACCAUAUAACUCGUAAAGUUUGGUCGAAGACUGGCAGCGUCUAUUGACUUCAACUCUUGCUAUUACCUCAAGAAGAAAGACUGCUACAAUUCUAUCUUCUUUAAACCAGCUAUUUAAAAGCAAUAAGGACAUUAAAUCCACCAAUUUAUCUUUGAAGUCAUUCGUCAUGCAGCUCUGCUAUGUACGAUUAUUGGCAAAAAUCUUGAAAGGAGACAACCUCAAAUUUGAAGACAAGAAAUGAGCAAGAACAUGCACCAACGAAGAAUCGAUUAUUGUUUUGUAUUUGGUAAAUACAAUUUGAGUUAAAUAAUCAAGAAUGAUAGUGAAUAAAUAAGGAAAAACAAUGUAGAUUCAGAACCACAAUAAAUCAUAUUAAGCUCAUGAGUUUAUAAUAUAUAUCUCUGCAGCUUGAUUGCCUUGUUAGCUAUAAACAUAACCUGUUAAUUCCAUCAUUAAUACCAUUAGAUAUAUUUUGAUGGGGGAGAUUUUUUAGUAGGAAAACAGUUGAAGUCAUUCAAGAAGACAUAAACAGCUGCAACUACGUAAGAGUUUAACUUUGAGAAUAGAUCCUUACACGUUAUUGAAAUGCCAUACUAAAGAUAAAGACAUAUAGCUAAACGUUAGACACACCAUAAAAAUAUAUAUAGGUAAAGUGAUAGGGUGUGAGUAAGGAGGCCAUGCUAUGUUUUCAAAUAAGAUUAUCAUGGUAUGAAUUAUGAGAACCCUAUUUAUAGGAAGAACAAAACCGAUAUGAAACUAAGAAUAUAGUCCAUUGAUAAUGAAGAAUCUAAGAAAUUUAAUGGAAAUUGUGGAUAAGCAUCGUGUUUUUAUCUCUGAUGGAGAAAAGCUAAGAGUGUGAGGAAGACCAACUGUCAAUGUCACCCAAACCGAAUCUACAAGUCACCACAAUGUACAGUAAUUCAAAGCAGGAAAAGUUCAUAGUUUCAGAGUAAAUAACACUUCAAUGAUUGUAUUAUAGAAAACAUGUGUAUCCUAUAUAUGUUGAACAAUAUUAUCUAACAAACAUAUUUUCCAAAAGACUAGAAAAUUUGUGAUUAAAUGCUAAAGUUACAUAUUUUAUGUAAUUAAAUUGGUUAAUUUAUGAGAGUGCACCACUAAUUUUUCCAUGUUUUUGUUGAAUUUUGUGCAGGGGUGCAAUUUGGGGCUAAAUAGAAGAAAAAGGAAACAAUUGGGCUAGAUUGAAGAGAGAAGCAAAGAAGGAGGGCCAAAACAGAAUUUUUCCAGAUUAAUUAGCUGAAAUUUUUGUUGACUUAGUGGGAGAUUAUUUUGGGAUUUUUUUUUAUAUCAUGGAAUAUUUUUCCUUAAUUUUCUAUACUAGUUGGCUUUUAAUUUAGCAAGGCCACUAGUAUAAAUAGAGGCUACAUUGUUCAUUUUAAUCAUCAAGUCUUGAAUCAAUUCAUAAAUCAAGCUUUCAUCUUUCAAUACAUUCUCUCUUUUCUACUCACAAAUUUAUUUGUUGUUUUUAGUUUCAUUUACUUUCAAUCCAUUAAUUUCCAGCUUGUUACCACUUAAACCAUUUUCAAUUUCUUUUUCAAACUUUCUUUCCAUCUCCAGUAGCUAAUUCACUUUAUUACACCCCCAAAAUUCCAGCCCCCCAAACUAAAUCACGCCACCCAUUCCUUUCACCCAUUUUACCUUAUUUAAUUUAUCCAAUACCAACAUGCCCCAAACCUUAGCCAACUAAAUUCAUUUCCAGCUUUAGGUCGGAAUUAGCCUCGUCAAAACCCGUGAGUUACGAACCCGAGCAAAUUAACUCCUAAAUUUUAGUACUUAUUAUUUCUCCGGAUUAAGAGUAUGAUUUUGUCAACUCACAAAGUCAGAUCAACAUUAAGUUAAAAAAGACGUCGUUUGAUUUAGUGUGGUUAGACGUACAGUUGGAAUUCCAAAAAGAUCGAUUCUAAUCGGUUUUCUGUGAACACAUUGGCGUGCCAAUUGGAGAUUGCUGUUUGGUUCCGUCAAGGGAAGUAGUAACCCGAUUUAAAUGUCCCACGCGGUUGAGGGCAUUGGUUCGAGCUAGGGUUUUCUAGAACGCAAAGCUGCCGGAGUUCUAAAUCACGAACAUUUCGUGGUUGUUCGAUCAGUAAGGGUUAGUUAUUGGACGUUCCAUAACUAAUUUACACAAGGAAGAGUUAGUGUCUGAGGCGUCCUUGGUAGCUAUAACUAGCUUAUUGGAAAAGAGGAGUUCAUCUAAUUUUGAGAAUCGGUUCAAAGACGAGGAAAAUUCGUGCCUAAAGCUGAGCUUAUUCUAAUUAAAUUUUCUUCAUAUUUAUUUAACUAUUUUAAUUAUUCUGUUUUCAACUUUAUCUUUUCACGCAUUUUAUUUAUUUAUUUCAGGUCUUCAAAUUUUAUCCCCCCGAACUUCUUGGGCACGACAACUGCCCCAACAUAAAUCUGGUCAAAAUAGAAACAAUUUGCAGUAAACCCAGUCUCUGAGGGAUCGACCCUACUCCCUAUACUGUUUAAAUCGCAAAUUAGGCGUAGGUUUAUAUUGGUGGAUUCGACACCCAUCAAUUUGUAUGUCAUUUUCUAUUACUUGCAAGAAAACUACAGGGGAAAUUGCAUUUCUAAUUCAUCCAUAGGCUUUAAAUUCAAACAAGAAAAAGGAAAAAGAAUAUAUAUAUAUCAACAGGAAACUUCAAGGAGAGAAAUUUUGUUACAUCAAUUUUCCAGUCAUAUUUAAUCUUUACCCAAAGUUGAUUCUAGAUUAAAUUUGGAAAAAAUUAAAAAAGAGGACAUGUAUUUUUUUUUAUUUUUGAAAAGUAAAGGAUUAUAUCUCAGCCAAAUAAAAAAGUCACAAUGCAAAGCCAAGAGCCAAAGCCAAGCCAAGCACACACUCAACUAGCAGACAUAACUCAUACAGGACCUAGAUGUAUUAUUGAACUCUUAUAUAAAAGACAACUGAAGAUGCAAAGCUUAAUUGUUAAGCUUUUCUGAUGCUUGAUAAGCAUAGUUUUAGUUCAGUUCCGAAAUCUAAACUGCUUUGCUAUGGGAUUAUUUUUAUAAGUACAUUGAGAUCAAUGCAUGCUAUUGCGAUUUAUUAUCUUUGAUGCCAAGGAAAUGACAGAAUUCAAAGACCAAAAGGUUCGAUUACAUACUAGAUCAUGGAUGUAAGCCAAUCUACAACCUCUCUCCUCGACCUCCAUGUGAAACCAGCAUGAUUUGAAUUCUCAGCCGCAUAUACCCUCACAAACUCCUCAGCAACAACAUAAAACAUAUACCUAACACUCCUUUGAGAACCGAUAACUGCACAGACAGAUUCACUAAUGGAAGCCUUCAAGAAAUAUUGAACCACACAAUUACCACACUUCUGUGAAAUAAACUUGUUGGUGCAAAGAGACAACAAUAGACUGUUUUCAAUCUUGCUUGUAUAGCAAGCCUCGAGCCUUGCUGAAGAAACAAACUCAAAAGCAAGAACAGAAACACAUGCGAAUGAAAAACAAAAGAAAUUGAGAGAGAGAGUAUUUUGAAUGAAAAGAGCUGAUAUUUCAUUAACAAAUCCAGAAGGCAUAAUGCCAUUACAUAUAAUAGAUAACAACAACAAAAUGAACAAGUCUUUACCUAAUGACAUACCUAACACCACUAAAUUUACAUUGGAAAUUGUUAAUCAGCUUGCUUAAGUUUCUUUGCUGAUUUUUUCAGUCAAUCAAUCAACAAAAAACAUCAUAAGGUUUACCAACUUAGUUCAACAUGAACUAGAUUACAAAAUAAUAAUUAAAAAUACAAUCAAAACAUAACAAGUAGUUAGGCAACUUUAAGCUCCAGUUUCUGCACUUCAUAGCUCGACUGCUUGCUGCCACUUCUCCUUGCAUGGCCACCUUUGCAUGUCUUGCAUGGGAACUAAAUUCAACACUCCUCCUUAGUUUCCAUGCUAGUGACACCUAAUUGCCUUCUUAAUUUAACAAAUUUAGACACAUUGAGUGCCUUUGUAAAGAUAUCAGCAAUUUGCUCUUCUGAAUUGCAAUGAACCAGCUCGAUUUCAUGAGCUUGCUCCAUCUCCCUUAUGACAUGUAGCUUGAUGUUGAAGUACUUUGCUCUACCAUGAAAGAUAGGAUUCUUUGCAAUUGCAACAGCAGAUUUGUUGUCACAGUAAAUCUCUGUUGCCUUUCCUUGAUUUUGAUUUAAAUCAGCUAGGAUUUUUCUAAGCCAUAUGGCUUGAUUUACAGCAGAUGCAGCAGCAACAUAUUCAGCUUCUGCUGUUGACUGUGCUACCAGACUUUGCUUUUUAGAACUCCAGCAAAACAUGCCUGAGCCAAGACUAAAGGCAUAUCCAGAUGUGCUUCUCAUGUCAUCACAAGAUCCAGCCCAGUCACUAUCAACAUAGCCUAUUAGCUUCAUGUUUAUAGCCCUUUUGAACAAUACACCAUGAUCAAUGGUGCCUUUGAUGUAUCUAAGCACUCUUUUAGCUGCUUGAAAGUGCUGAUCAUUGCAGCAAUUCAUGUAUCUGGAUAGCACACUAACAGCAAACAUGAUAUCGGGUCUUGUUGCAGUCAAAUACAACAGACUACCAAUGAGACUUUUGUACAUAGUCUCGCAAAUUGGUUCACCACUCCCUUGCCUCGAAAGCUUCACUCCAACAGCCAUUGGUGUGCUUGUUGGCUUGCAGUUCUUCAUAGAGAACUUAUCCAGGAUCUUCAUAGUAAAAGAACUCUGACUAAGAAAGAUUCCCUUUGCUGUUUGCUUCACUUCCAUUCCAAGGAAGUAGUUCAUUCUGCCUAAAUCAGACAUUUCAAACAUUUCCAUCAUUUUUCUUUUGAAAUCUUCCAGCAUUCUUCUAUCUCCUCCAGUCACCAAUAAAUCAUCAACAUAGAGUGACAGGAUAAGCUGAGUUUCAGCUUGGUUCUUCUUCACAUACAGUGUUGGUUCACUGAGACUUCUCUCGAAUUCCAAACUGAGCAAGUAAGAAUCAAUUCGAGCAUACCAGGCUCAAGGAGCCUGUUUUAGGCCAUACAAAGCCUUUUUCAGUCUGUACACCUUGUGUUCUUUGCCAGUGACCACAAAUCCUUGAGGCUGUUCGAUGUAGAUCUCUUCUUCCAGGAAACCAUUGAGAAAUGCAGACUUAACAUCAAGCUGAUGAAUGGUCCACUGAUGUUGAGCAGCCAAGGCAACUAUCAUUCUAACUGUGUCAAGCCUGGCUACUGGUGCAAAUGUCUCCAGAUAGUCCAGACCAUACCUUUGGCUAAAACCUUUGACAACAAGCCUGGCUUUUAGCUUGUUCAGACUGUCAUCUGCAUUCUGUUUUGCUCGAUAGACCCAUUUUACUCCAAUGGUCUUCUUUCCAGUAGGUUUAUCAACUAGCUCCCAUGUCUGGUUCUUCUCAAUCAUGUUGAUUUCAUCGACCAUAGCUAGUUUCCAGCCUUCAUCUGCCUCAGCCUCUUCAAAACUGCUAGGUUCUGCUAUUGCAACCUGUGCCCUUUCAUAAAUAUCAUCUAGGGGCCUUGUGCCUCUCACAAGCACAUCAUCAACAUCCAUUUCAGGUCCUAGCUGCUCAAGUUCAGCUUGAUUAGGCACCAGGUCUUCUGAAGCAGCUUCUGGUUCAUUCUUUUCCCAAUUCCAACAAGCCUUCUCAUCGAAGAUGACAUCUCUGCUCACUUGAACUAUGUUUGUCAAAGGAUCCAGCACCCUGUAGCCCUUCUUAACUGAGCUAUAGCCUACUAGAACACCUGGUUGAGCCCUUUCAGAGAGCUUGUCUCUCUUAACUGCUGGUAUUUGUGCAUAACACAGGCAACCAAACACCUUCAGAUGUACCAAGGAAGGCUUGAAACCGGACCAAGCCUCGAAAGGUGUUUUGGAUGCAAGAGCUUUGGUAGGAAGCCUAUUUUGAAGGUAGACAGCAGUGUUUACUGCCUCAGCCCACAUGGUCUUGGGCAGUUUCUUCUCAAACAGCAGGCACCUGGCCAUAUCCAUCAAGCUUCUGUUCUUUCUUUCUGAUACCCCAUUCUGCUGAGGUGUGUAGACAUUUGUAAGCUGGUGUUUGAUACCAGCAUCAUUGCAAAUGGCUUGAAACUGAGCUGAAGUGUACUCAGUGCCAUUGUCUGACCUUAUCGAUUUCAGCUUGCAACCUGUUUCUGUCUCUACAGCAAUUUUAAACUUCACAAACACUUGAGCUACCUCAAACUUGUGUUUUAAGAAGAAAAUCCAGCAAAACCUUGUAAAAUCAUCAAUGAAGAGGAUGAAAUACCUAUUUUUCUUGAGUGAUUCAGUCCUCAUCGGGCCACAUACAUCAGAGUGCACCAGCUGUAGUUUUUUAGUAGCUCUCUAAGCUGAAUUUGUAGGAAAUGGCAGUCUUGCCUGUUUCCCCAUCUGGCAAACUUCACACACAUCAUCAUGCUCCACUGAGCUAGUAAAGUUCUCUGCCAAGCCUUCUUUGGCCAUUCGAGCCAAUGAUCUGAAGUUGGCAUGCCCAAGCCUUUGAUGCCAAAGCUUGGAAUCAUCAACAGAGGCUGUAUAUGCAGACUUUGAGUCAUUUGGCCAGUGUACCUCAAAGCAUUUGUUAGUCAUUGUGACUGUCAUAAGGCUUGAUCCACUUGGAUCAGCAAUGUGGCACUGUUUGUUCUUGAACACAACAGAAUAGCCUUUCUUGAGCAAUUGAGCUAUGCUGAGAAGGUUUCUGUCGAUUUCUGGCACUAACAGCACAUUUGGAAUGAUCUUGUUGCCUGUGGGGGUACAUAUCAGCACCUCUCCUCUUCCUUCAGCCCUUAUGAACUGACCAUUUCCAACCUUGACCUUGGUUUUACAACUUCUAUCCAAGGUUUUAAAUAAGGAGGCAUCUGGUGACAUGUGGUUAGUGCAACCACUGUCCAAUAACCAGCCUUUUGAGCAUUUCUUCUCAGCAGCUAAGAAAGAAACAGCAAAGACCUGCUCUUCUUGAUCACUACUGUCCUCAGCUACUCGAGCUUCAACCUUUGGUUGUUGAAAUUGACUCUGCCUUGACUUGGUUUUAUUUUUGCAAACCCUUUCAACAUGGCCUUUCUUCUUGCAGUGUUGGCAUACUGCAUCUGGCCUGAACCAGCAUCUGUCUUCUGGAUGACCUGGCCUCUUGCAAUGUCUGCAGGGCUGGUCAUUGCUCCUUGCAGUAUCAGGCUUAGGCCUGCUUUUCCAAGGCUUUUUACCUCUUGGAGCAUUGAUGCUCGAGGCUUCUCUGGCCUUGGCAUUGAAUGCACCUUCCUGGUGGUCUUCAGCUCUGCUAGCUCUCCUUUGUUCCUGAGCAUAGAAAGUGUUGAUUAGCUCAGUCAAAGAGAUGGUAGCAAGGUCUCUUGAGUCCUCAAGAGAGGAUAUCUUGGCCUCAUAUCUCUCAGGCAAAGUGGAGAGAACUUUCUCUACUAUCCUUGCCUCAUCAAAGUGCUCACCAAGGAGCCUUAUACUGUUAACCACUGCCAUGAUUCUAUCUGCAUACUGCUUCACUGUUUCUUCUUCCUUCAUCUUCAGGUUCUCAAAAUCCCUUCUCAAAUUCAAUAGCUGUUGUUGCCUUGUUCUCUCAGUGCCUUGAAACUCCUCCUUAAGCUUAUCCCAUGCCUGUUUUGGAGUCUCACAGGCCAUAAUUCUGGUGAAGAUGACAUUUGACACACAAUUCUGAAUGCAGGACAUGGCUUUGUGCCUUUUGGUCCUCUCAUCAGCAUGUUGCCUAAUCUGAGCUACUGUGGGAUUGGCCCUCAGUGGUGCUGGCUCAGCAUCUGUGUUGACAACUUCCCACAGAUCAAAGGCCUGUAGGUAAGUCUUCAUCUUGACCAGCCAUAUGUGAAAGCCUUCUCCAUUGAAGACUAGUGGGGCUGCUGGUGAAAAACUUGAGGAAGACAUUCAGCUUUCUUAGUUUGAUAAAACAGGUCCACUAAGAAUGAAGCUCUAGAUACCAAUUGUUGGUGCAAAUAGACAACAACAGACUGUUUUCAAUCUUGCUUGUAUAGCAAGCCUCGAGCCUUGCUGAAGAAACAAACUCAGAAGCAAGAACAGAAACACAUGCGAAUGAAAAACAAAAGAAAUUGAGAGAGAGAGUAUUUUGAAUGAAAAGAGCUGAUAUUUCAUUAACAAAUCCAGAAGGCAUAAUGCCAUUACAUAUAAUAGAUAACAACAACAAAAUGAACAAGUCUUUACCUAAUGACAUACCUAACACCACUAAAUUUACAUUGGAAAUUGUUAAUCAGCUUGCUUAAGUUUCUUUGCUGAUUUUUUCAGUCAAUCAAUCAACAAAAAACAUCAUAAGGUUUACCAACUUAGUUCAACAUGAACUAGAUUACAAAAUAAUAAUUAAAAAUACAAUCAAAACAUAACAAGUAGUUAGGCAACUUUAAGCUCCAGUUUCUGCACUUCAUAGCUCGACUGCUUGCUGCCACUUCUCCUUGCAUGGCCACCUUUGCAUGUCUUGCAUGGGAACUAAAUUCAACAAAACUCCUUCUGCCACUCGAAACAAUGACCAUUCCAAACAUUUUGAUAGACAAUACACAAUUUGCUUCACUACUUACUCACAUAGCCAAAAAAUAUCCAAUGAAACUGGCAAAGGGUUCUUCCAAAAUGGUACAUUAGCUGCCAAAAAGACAACCACCAUAUAUUCCUUCAUUCAGUAAACAGCUUCAAUAUGGAAAUAAGUUAUUAUCUUAAAAAUGCUUUUUCUACCACAGAAGAAUAAGAACUAGGCAUCUCAGAAAAUUUGCUAAAUUAAUGACUUUGCUCCCUUCAAAAUAAACAAAUGAUUAACUGCAUUAUCCCAAAGAGGUCACCAUCAACCUCCAGUUGAACUUUCAAGGAAUAAUAAUAAAAAAUAGAAGGAAAUAAGGGGGAAAAAACCCAACCAGAACUCAGUAAUAGCUGAGCCUUGAAGAUCUGUAGGUAGUAAGAGAAAAACCCCAUGACGACUAAAGUCCAGGCUUGAAAGAACCAAAAGGGAGCAACAUAUGACUAUGAUUCACUGGACCAAGAGAAUCACCAAUGAAUAAAGGAAAAAGGGUACUUUCCUUUAUACCUAAACAUACAAUAUUUAGCCUCAAAAUGGGAAAAUUUCAGGUUUUCACAAAGGGUUUAAGAAAGAGGGUGAAAGUUAAAGAACUUGUCUUUGUUUUGAUGUGUGGUACACGAGAUAGUGAAGGAAAAUAGAGGUGAGGAAAUAAGAUGGAGUAAGUGCCUAAGUGGUGAAAAAGGAGAGCCUAAAAGAGACAUUUUUGAAGGGUAGUUUAGAAGCUGCAGAGGCUUUGGCAUACAGCAGCUGAUAAUGAGAGAAGACAAACCAGAAAUGUAAGUACGACGACGAUAAAAAUUAAAAAAUUUUAAGAAUUAAUGAAAUAAAAUUUUGUAGCUUAGCGAAUUGGGACGAAGUCCACCAGUGUGAUGCCCAUAGAUCCAUACCUGGGAUUUUUCUAUUUGGGCUAACUUUCUAACUUCUCCCACCAGUCUUAAAACUUUGCAGAUUUUUUCAAUUUGAUCUGGAUUGUAUGAUAACAUAUCACUUUGAGAUUGGAAAAAAAAUUAUUUUUUUUAAAUUAGAGAAAAAAUAAAGAAACUAAAUUUCAAGCAUGCAAAGUACAAAAGAAAGAACUGUAUUAAUAAAAGAUGAGUUACUUCACUCAGAUUGGAGUACCCUUUAAACAAGUUUAUUCUUGUAGAGAAAGAAACUGGAUUUUGAUUUCAUUUGCUGUGGCAAAAUUUUUAAUUUCAACAACAGUAUAACAUAUUGAAAGCCUGCCUACAUCUCGGCAGAAAAAUUUACAAAUUCUUUCAUCAGACAAUUUAAAUGAUGCAAUGCAAAGAUUCAUCAAUGUAUGAUCUUUUUAUCAUAAAUGGCUGUUUUACUGGAAAACUUGAUAUGUACUGUCUUUCACAUUCUUUUGUGCUGAAUGGUCUCUGAAAACUGCAAUCAUCAACUAUAGAUAACCCAUUCCUCAGCGCCGCCAGAGCCGACCUUGUUGUUUCUGUUCUUGAACUUGCCUGUGUCAUCAAAGGCAGUGAGCAUUUAUCAAUGUUAUAAAAAUGGCAUAUCGAAGUCAGAUUUUACUUGACAAUACACAAAUGUAAGAAGAUAAUUCACCUUUGAUACUCUUUAGAACGCUCGAGAAACUCUUUCGCGAUGUCUUUUCUUUAAUAUGAUUGCAAUACUUGUCUGAUAUCAGCCGGACCAUUGUGUUAGUACAAAACUCCGGUAAGGAAAAAAACUCGAACACACGAUCGGAACUCGAAAAGAAAAAGAAGAAAUAGGACAGGCUCCAAGGCGUGUAUCAAGCCACUAUCUUUAAGGUUAUAUUCGCCCCCACUUAUCUUCAGUGUGCAAACGAGUUCCAAGCAAAUUAACCUCGAGGAUACAAUGAAGCCAAUGACUAUUUGCGUUUUGCACUGACGAGAAUAGUCCACUAUACACUAAGUAAUGUAUAACAAAAACUCAAUUUCUACAAAGGAUUUCUGCAGCAAUACUUUAUAGAAUAAUCUAAUAAUAUUAGAAAAUGAAGGAAGAGAAGAAAUAAUAUUAGAAUUUGUUGAUAUGAUUUCCAAAUGAAAUCCCAUUCCUAUUUAUAGGAAUUUUCAUGUCUCUUCAUAGAGACAUCUUUCAAUAGGUGUCUUUAUGAAUAAAUAAAUAAUAAUAAUUAUUCAUUUAAUUUUGUAACUAUUCAAAUAAUAUUUUUUGAAUAGUUAUAAUUCUUUUUUAAAAAAUCAAAUGAUAUAACUUUUGACCAAUGACCAAAAGUUUUAUCUUUUGAUUAAUUACACCCAUUCAUUUAUAGUUAUUGGGAUACUAUAAAUAUUUGAAAAUAUUCCAACAAUCUCCCCCCAUUUUCAAAAUAUUUAGAUUUUGAUAUUCUUGGAAAUCAAUUUGCAUAAAUAAAGGUGUCUUACGAUUGAACCUUCACUUAGUGAAAACAUGUUAAAGUUAAUCGAAAUUGUAUGGUAGACUAAGCUUUGAACCAACUAUUCCAUUUGAUUAAUUGAACACAUCUCACACAAUGAUUUCAACAUCAGUCAAUGCAUAGUAUCUAGGGACACUAUUAUAGCCAUGUGUCUAUGUCCUCUUUUCAUGAGUGCUGUCAGAGCCAAGCCCUUAAGCUCCUAGAAGCGGCCACACUUCCACUCACAUAGGUAGAUCCCAUCAAAAGUGUUCCCGUAAUUAUAACACUCUAACAUAUUUAUGUUAUGGGUCCAUUAAGAGUAAAUUACUCAUCCUUCCCUUAUCAUUACGGGUACCUAGCACUUUAAUCUUAGGAUGGAUUUAUUUAUAGUGCUAACAGUCACAUACUAAUGAUGUACUUUGUCUCAUUGAACUCAAGACUUGACGUUAUACCAAGCAUUGAGUCGAGUUUCCAUCAUGGGUGACUCUAAUUAAUAGGCUUGAGUCCCAUCCCUUUUGAGGUCCUUUUUACUGCAUCUCUAGCAAGACUUUUUGUCAAAGGAUCUGCCAAAUUUUCACUUGACCUCACAUAAUUAAUAGUGAUCACUCCAUCAGAGAUUAAUUGUCGGACAUAACUAUGUCUUAAUCCAAUGUGUCUAGACUUUCCAUUAUAUACUUGGCUAUAUGCCUUUGCUAGAGUAGCCUCACUAUCACAACGGAUAGAAAUAGGUGAAAUUGGCUUAAGCCAUAAACGUACAUCAUAAAGCAAAUUUCUUAACCAUUCUGCUUCUUUAGAUGCAGCGGCUAAUGCAAUAAAUUCUGCUGCCAUGGUGGAAUCAGUAAUACAUGUUUGUUUCUUGGAACCCUAAGAAAUGACUCCUCCACCAAGAAUGAAGAUCCACCCACUAGUAGAUGCAUGAUCUUCCAAACUUGUAAUCCAACUAGCAUCCGAAUACCCUUCUAAAACUGGAGGAUAUCCAUUAUAACACAAUCCAUAGUUAAUAGUUUUCUUUAAGUACCUAAGUACUCUAUUUAAAGCUUGCCAAUGCAAACUACUUGGAUUAUUUGUGUAUCUACUCAAUUUUCCAAUAGCAUAUGCAAUAUCUGGUCUUGUACAAGUCAUUAUGUACAUAAGAAAACCAAUUGACUUGCAUAUUUCAAUUGAUCAAUUUUCCUACCAGCAUUAGAUACUAAUUUUAAUUGAGGAUCCAUGGGUGUAGAUACUGGUAUACAGUUGAAAAUAUCAAACUUUUUAAGCACAUUUUCAAUGUAAUGUGAUUGUGAUAAAGCUAUAGUGCUUUCAUCUCGGGUUAUUUUAAUCCCAAGAAUAACAUCUUCUACACCCAUAUCCUUCAUAGCAAAGUUGUUUGACAAGAAUUUCUUUGUGUUUUCUAUUUGUUCCAAAUCCGUGCCAAAAAUGAGCAUGUCAUCUACAUAUAAGCAAAUUAUAACACCCUUUCCAUUAUCAAAUUUACUAUAUAUGCACUUAUCGGAUUCAUUUAUUUAUAGCCAUUAGCUAAAACAACCUUGUCAAACUUUUGGUGCCAUUGUUUUGGUGCUUGUUUAAGCCCAUAUAAAGAUUUAACAAGCUUACAUACCUUAUGCUCUUGUCCUGGAACAACAAAUCCUUCCGGUUGCUCCAUGUACACUUCCUCUUCCAAUUCACCAUUUAAAAAUGCAGUUUUAACAUCCAUUUGGUGAACAACCAAAUUAUAUAUAGAGGUAAGUGAUAUUAAUAGUCUAAUUGUAGCAAUUCUUGCUACUGGAGCAUAGGUAUCAAAGUAAUCAAUACCUUGUCUUUGUGUAAAACCUUUUGCUACCAACCUUGCUUUAAAUUUAUCAAUGGUUCCAUCGACCUUCAUUUUCUUUUUGAAGAUCCAUUUACAACCUAUUGGUUUGGAACCUGGUGGAAGAUCAACUAAGAUCCAAGUUUGAUUUCCCAUUAUUGAAUCCAUUUCAUCAUUUAUUGCUUCUUUCCAAAAAGUAGAGUCUUGAGAUUUCACUGCUUCUUCAAAUGUAACAGGAUCAGAUUCGGUAUUAUAACAAUAAGGUAUCUUAUUGCAUAUACUUUCACCUUUUCCUUCUAUAAGAAACAUAAUGAAAUCUGGUCAAAAAUCUUUGACCUUUUUAAUCCUCUUACUUCUUCUUAAUUCUUGACAAGAUUCAUCAUUAUUAUCAAUUUGUUUCAAUGGAAUCUCAUUCUCAUUUGAAGAAUGAAUCAAUUGUUGUGGUUGUAAUUGUCUUGAUAUAGAAUUAAAUCUAUUUUCAUCAAAAAUAGCAUCUCUUGAUUCAAUAACCGUAUUAAUUGAAAUUGAAUCAUUUGGUUCAAUUACUAUGAACCUAUAUGCCUUGCUAUUAUGUGCAUAACCUAUAAAUAUGCAUUCAAUUCCUCUUUCACCUAACUUUUUACGUUUAGGUGUUGGAACUUUUACAAUAGCUCUACAACCCCAAACCUUUAAAUAAUUAAGGUUUGGUUUCCUUUUCUUCCAUUGUUCAUAGAGGGUUAUUUUAGUUUCCUUAUUAGGAACUCUAUUCAAUAUAUGACAAGCUGUUAGAACAGCUUCUCCCCAAAAACCCUGUCCAAGACCUGAAUAUGAUAACAUUGAAUUUACCAUUUCAAUCAAGACUCUAUUUUUCCUUUCAGCUACACCAUUUUGUUGUGGUGUGUAAGGGGCUGAAACUUGAUGGACAAUUCCAGUGAGUUCAAAAUAACUUGGAUUAUAGUAUUCUCCACCUCUAUCCGAUCUUAAGCACUUGAUAAAUGAUUCACACUGAAGUUCAACUUCAGAUUUAUAAACUUUAAAUUUAUCAAGCGCUUCAUCUUUUGAAUGCAAUAAAUAUACAUAACAAUAUCUAGAACAAUCAUCAAUAAAAGUAACAAAAUAUUUCUUUCCACCUAAUGUAGGAGUAUUAUGCAAGUCACAUAAAUCACUAUGUAUCAAAUCAAGCAAUUUUGUUUUCCUUUUAACCUUAGGGAAAGGAUUUCUUGUAAUUUUAGUCAACAUACAGGUAUUGCAUUUUUCAAUAUUAUUAUUAAAAACAGGAAUUAAAUCUAAUUUAUACAUGUCAUUCAAUUUUCUAUAAUUCAAAUGACCUAAUCUAUAAUGCCACAAACAAAAUGAUUCAACCAUAUAAGCAGAAAUAGUAUUUUUAUUCUUAUUAAUAAUAUUAAGUUUGAACAUGCUUUCAUACAUAUACCCUUUUUCCCACAAAAAUUCCUCCCUUAGACAAAAUAAACUUAUCUGCCUCAAAAACAAGUUUGAAACCAAACUUAUUCAACAGACUUCCAGACACUAAAUUUUUCCUAACUUCUGGUACAUAAUAUACAUCAUUUAAGGUUAAAACCUUUCCAGAAGUGAAUUGUAGUUCAACAGACCCUUUGCCUUUAAUUUGCGGUGGAAGAAUUUCCCAUGUACAAGACAUUGUCAUUUUCACAUUGUGUGACUUUGUGAACAUGCUUUUGUCUUUGCACACAUGUUUGGUUGCUCCGGUAUCAAUCCACCAUGUAUUAUCAUCUUGUACCAUAUUAAUUUCAGAUAUCAUUGCAACGAACUUUUCGUUAUUAUCAGCCUUAGAAGAUGAUUUCUUCUUUAAAAAUCGAUAUUCAUUCUUGAAAUGUCCCGGCUUUCCACAAUGAUAGCAUGAGCCCUUUUGUUUCUUUUUGAACUUAGGUGCUCUAUCAGCCUGAUUGAACUUUCUUUUGAAUGGUUUAGUAGUCUGUACUUCCUCCGUAACAUGUACUUUGGCAUUUUCAGAAUUUAGGUUCUGAUCUUGUUGUCGAUACUCUUCUUCAAUACGAAGAUGAUUUGCCAAAGCCUCAAGAGAUAUUUCCUCUUUCUUAUGUUUUAGACUUCUUUUAAAGUCUUUCCAAGAUGGAGGAAGUUUGUCUAUUAUAGAGGAUACCACAAUUAUUUCAUCCAUUUUCAUAUCAUAUUGCUUAAAUUGAUUCAACAUCUUUUCAAUAUCACGAAAUUGUUCCAUAACAGAACGACCAUCAACCAUUUGAUAAUUAUUGAAACGACUGACAAGAAAUUUCUUACUUGUAACAUCUUCGGUCAUGUAUCUUGCCUCCAAUUUGUCCCAUAAAUCUUUAGCGGUGACGUCGUUUUGGUAGGUGUCGAACAAACCAUCAGAUAAACCAUUCAAUAUGUGGCCCAUGCACAUGUAAUCAGCAUUGUCCCAUUUUUGUCUUUCUCGGGUUGCAGCAAUAGAUUCGUUUUCAUUCUCUUCAGGUCUUGGAGUAUCCAAAACAUAAGCAAUCUUCAAAGUUGAUAACAAAAAGUGCAUCUUUUUCUGCCAUCGUCGAAAAUUGCCACCAUCAAAACGAUCAAGUUUAACAAAGUUGGAAGCCAACUCCCUUAGUGUUCCACUUUCAUGUGUUGUGGUAGUCAUCAUGAAAUAUAACCUUAAAAUUGUUAGUACAAAACUCCGGUAAGGAAAAAAACUCGAACACACGAUCGGAACUCGAAAAGAAAAAGAAGAAAUAGGACAGGCUCCAAGGCAUGUAUCAAGCCACUAUCUUUAAGGUUAUAUUCGCCCCCACUUAUCUUCAGUGUGCAAACGAGUUCCAAGCAAAUUAACCUCGAGGAUACAAUGAAGCCAAUGACUAUUUGCGUUUUGUACUGACGAGAAUAGUCCACUAUGCACUGAGUAAUGUAUAACAAAAACUCAAUUUCUACAAAGGAUUUCUGCAGCAAUACUUUAUAGAAUAAUCUAAUAAUAUUAGAAAAUGAAGGAAGAGAAGAAAUAGUAUUAGAAUUUGUUGAUAUGAUUUCCAAAUGAAAUCCCAUUCCUAUUUAUAGGAAUUUUCAUGUCUCUUCAUAGAGACAUCUUUCAAUAGGUGUCUUUAUGAAUAAAUAAAUAAUAAUAAUUAUUCAUUUAAUUUUGUAACUAUUCAAAUAAUAUUUUUUGAAUAGUUAUAAUUCUUUUUUAAAAAAUCAAAUGAUAUAACUUUUGACCAAUGACCAAAAGUUUUAUCUUUUGAUUAAUUACACCCAUUCAUUUAUAGUUAUUGGGAUACUAUAAAUAUUUGAAAAUAUUCCAACACAUUGCGGGCUACAUCUGUGAACAAAUCAAAACAAAUGGUACUAUAAUCAACAAAUGAAUAUAGGAAACAUAAAAUUUGAACAAAGGCGAUGUGCAGAGGAAAAAGCAACAACAUAAGACUUACAUUCAAGAAAUGGAAUAAGGUCUAAAAGUGCGGUAUCAUCAGUCUCGACCUUAUAUGGCUUAAUAUGGACACAAUUUUCUGGUUGAAGGCUAGAAUCAAAUGCAUGAGCACUCACAUAUAAAAUCUUGGUUGGAUCCCUGUUUAGCUUUGAAAGAUCCUGCCAACAGGAACUAUUUGUUAACAAUAAGGCUUCUUUUUAAGUAGCAGCUUGUAAAGGCACUGUCUCAUAUAUUAAUUCACAUAGUAUUGUAGAAACUAAGGAGGAGAAAACCAAAAGCAAAAUGUUUUGAAGGGAAGAGAUUGACUAUGACAUGGUAAAAGUAUCAUGGAGGCCCCUAUGUUAGGAGUUAGAUUGCCUUUUGCCCCCUUUACUCAAAAACUGGAUAAAUUAGUCCCUAUAUGUUAGAUUAAAGAGUAAGCUAGACUUUCUGUUAAAAAUUUCAUCCAUUGCUACUGUUAAAAACUGGUGCAGUUGAUAAAAUAACCAAACAGUUACACAUAAUGUGUCACGUGUACCUCAUGCUAAUGUAUAUGGACCAAUUUUUAACAGUAGAAAUGGAUGGAACUUGUAACAGAAGGGCUGGUUUGCUUUUUAAUCUAAUUUACAGGGAUUAAUUUGCCCAUUUUUUUAGUAAAGGGGUGAAAUGCAAUAUGACUCCUAGUAUAAGGGCCUCCAUGGUACUUUUACCACUAUGACAUACUCUAUAAUGCUUGCCAUCCUGAUAUUUAGUAGCACCCCUUGAUAGCCUAUAUCGUAUACAAUGGUUAGUGUCCAACCUUUCACAAGCAGGAUCAACAUACCGCAUAGCCAAAAACAAAAUAAUUAUGAACUUGCAGGCAACAUCAGUUAUAGUAUAUCUGAAAAAGAUAAGGAAAAAAAACUGUUACUUUCAUAUCUAAUUUCUUUAUAGUAUUAGGACAAACUAAACAAUGGAUAUAUCACAUUAUUAAGACUUAGCUAAGGAGCCGCUGAUAUACAUUCAAAUGAUCAAUCAUAAAGGAUGAACUAGGAGGCCUAAUGAUAAAUCAAAAUUACACCUAAACCAGUUAUAUGUCUAAAGGCAAUUGCACAUUAUAUCAAUCAAACAACUAAAAUAAAUAGAGAAAAUCCUUUAAAAUAUUCAAUUUCUAAACAAAAUCAAACUCACAUCAAUAGCAGAUCUUGACAAAGAAACCCAAAAUCACAAAUGAUCCUAUCUUUUUAAAAGGGGAAAAAGAAAACUUACUAUAAGAGAGAUAACCAGCAUAGCCAGUAGUUCCAGUAACACCUGCAAUGAGUCCGUACUUGACAAAGCUCUAAAUUUUCCCUCCCGAAACCUGUGGGGCAACUUUCGGCGCCAGAGGAGGAGGUGUCGACUGAUCGGAGAGAAUGGAUUGUGAAGAACAAUCCAAACUUAAUUUACAAGCAAUGUGGAAAUUUUGGACGUUGCAGUAUUGACUACGUUUACUUGAGGGAAAACAAAGACAUGAAUGCUGGAAAUUUUAACUAGUUUGUACGGUCAAUGAAGCUACCUCGAAUGUUAAAUAUGUUACUCUGCAAUGCCAUUGUAAAUAUGACUGUUAAAUUUGUUGAUAGCGGAAUUGUUCCACUCAAGUUAUUGUGGGACAAAUCAAGAAUUUGAAGAAAAGUGACAUUGCAUGUUAAACAAGAGACCUCUCCAUUGAAACUAUUAUUUGAGAUCAGAAAGACAUUGAUUGUCGAAGCUGGAAUCGGAAGAUUUCCACGGAUCAAAUAGGAGCUUAAGUCAAGAACUACAAUAUUCUUCCAUGGAAAGUGCAAAACUUCUGUCAAAGAGUUGCUGUAAUUGGAUUAAUCUCAUCGUUGCUGCAAUCUUUUGACAAAUCGAAUCUUAAAUAUGUUACUCUGCAACGCUAUUGUAAAUGUUACUCUUAAAUAUUACUCUGUAACUAGAUUGAUGGCUCAAUCUUGUUUUUAACAUUGUUAUGGGUAUUACUACUUUCAUGCUUUGAUACGCGAUACCCUCUUUCUAGGUGACAUUUUUGCUCCUUCCGGGCCACCAUGGGCUCUCUGCAUCACUCACCAACCUCAUUAGAUUCCCCGGGUGCCAUUUGGCCAUCUCAAGUCUCAAAAUAGCAUCAAAAUGCACUCUAAUAAUUUAUUAAUAUAAAGAACUAAAACAAAAUAAAAACACAACAAAGAUAUCUAAAUUGCACGAAAAUAAGCUUUUAAGUGUGAUGGAGAGUCUAAUUUGACAUAUCAAUUAAUGUUUGACUAUCUCCAUCUCACUUUUUAUUAAUUAAGGAAUAUGAAUUAGAAUUAAUAUAAACUUACUAUUUUAACAUUUCAUAAGCAAAAGCUAAAAUAAUAUUGGUCACAUCCCAUAUCUUCAUAUAUAGCUUAUCAGACAAAAGUUAAAACAGCCUUCAGUUCAUCUACAUUCUACAUUCCACGUCGAAUCUGCAAGCAUCAAAUAUUAACCUUUGAACUCCAAAAUAACAACACCAAUUUCCAGCAAUUGCAGAAGAAUGUCCAAUAAUUCCACACAAAUUAACAACAAUUUGCCAGCAUCCACUACAUUCGUAUGAAUUCCACACAAAUUAAGACUGGAAACUCUAACUUGUUCAUACCCUCAAUGAAGCUACCUAAAAGUUAUGAAUUCCACUGCAAAUUUUGUAUUGCUUGGAAUGAAUUGACUGUAAUUUCCUAUUACUUGCCACAAAAUUUUCUUUUACUGCUAACUUGUAAAAAAAUUAUGAAAAUACAACAGAGAUCAUUGAGACAUUUUGUUCUCCUUUCUCCUUUACUGAGCAGUAGCAAAGAUUAUCGAGACUAAAUUGAAAGUCAUGAAAGAAGACAUAAACAACACCACCAUACAAAAUGUUACACUCAAACAAACCAUUACAGAUAGUACGAAAUGCAAUGAAAGACACAGGAAUUGGUACAACAAUAAAGACAGACACAUACCAAUGCAACCCUUCACCAUAGGCAAAACGGUCUACAGAAUAAGAAAUUAUGAAAAUACAACACUAAUUCUUGAACAUCAUUUCCAGUAAUUAGAUCCUUCUUCGUCUAUUGCUUCGAUUGCCUUUCUUUGACUUUCUUCUUCGCCUCAUCUCUUGUUGGUUUUCAACCAAAUUCACCAACCAUUUCGGCUUACCAAUUUGGAAAACAACAUAUCCCACGGACAUUCCGAACACCACUCUGCAUCCAUAACCUAUCAACACCACUUUCCAACCAAAAGCAAUGUUUGAUUUUGAGCCAUCUUUUUCAAGCGCAUUUGGAGGUGCUGGCUCAAUGAUGUUGCAACCUUUCGAGACCGGAAACCCACACAGUCCAUUAUUCCCUUCAUAUGAAUCAUUUCCAAAUGUGUUGAAUUGUUUUCCUUGAGGAAUCUGACCAUGGAGUUGAUUUUCAGCGACAUUGAAGGACGAAAGAAAUGGCAGAUCUGCCAAUCUAUUUGGAAUCGUCCCAGACAACCUGUUUGAAGAUAGGUCCAACCAUUCAAUACUUGUCAAAUUCCCUAUUGAUGUGGGAUACCACCAUUAAGGUUAUUAUGAGAAAGGUUGAGCCCUUUCAGUAAGUUAAGCUUCCCAAAAACCUUUGGAAUACCCCCUUCAAACUGAUUGUUUGAUAGAUCAAUGAUCAUCCACAUGGUGAAAAUUUUCACCAAUUCCAUAUAUUGUCCUUUCAUAACAGUUCCGAUGGAAUAGGUAUAGAAGCCAUUACCUCUCGGAACAUACAUCCCCAUGUACGACAUUGUACUCCCAAUCUUCUCUAGAUUUAUGAUACCCUUGAAGCUGUUGAUGUAUCUCACUGGUAGGGGUCCAGAAAAAUAAUUACUUGAGAGAAAAAAAAUUUGGAUUUUAGAGAAAAAAGGGCUAGACUUGGAGCUAUUGUCACAUAAGGAACCAUGCAUAUGAUUUGACUUCAAUACAAGAACUUGUAGCUGUGGAAGACUUCCCAACCAAUGAGGAAAUGUAUCAUUGAUCUUGUUCUUCUUCAGAUUCAAGAAUUGAAGGCUGUAGCUCAAAUUUUCAAAACAUUGCGGAAUUGUUCCGCUCAAGUUAUUGUGGGACAAAUCACGAAUUUGAAGAAAAGUGACAUUGCAUAUUAAAGAAGAGACCUCUCCAUUGAAACUAUUAUUUGAGAUCAGAAAGACAUUGAUCGUCGAAGCUGGAAUGGGAAGAUUUCCACGGAUCAAAUUGGAGCUUAAGUCAAGAACUGCAAUAUUCUUCCAUGGAAAGUGCUCAACUUCUGUCAAAGAGUUGUGAGAUACAUUUAAGUCAAAGAGCCAUUGCCCACCUCUUGCAUCCACUGUGGAAUCUUGCCUUCAAUUUUGUUGCAAGAGAGGUCCAAGCUUUCCAAACUUUUAAGCCCUUAUAAAAACUGGGGGAAUUCACUAAGAUUGAAAGAUGACAAACGUAAGUCUAUAAGAUUAGACAAUAUAUGGUUAACACAAGAAGUAGUAUUAAAUGUUAAGGAUAGGCUGUUAUAUGAAAGGUCGAGAAGUUUUAGAGUUGGAAGGUUUGAGAACAUGCGAAACUCUAUGACACCACUAAGAUUAUUUGAGGAUAAAAGGAGGUGGGUAAGAUUGAGAAGUUGGAAUAUUGAAGAUGGAAGAGGACCUUGGAGUUUAUUAUUGUUUAACCUUAUCAAUUCUAGUGUUUUGGAUUGGAAUUCUUUGAUAUGCCCACUGAAUUGUUUUUAGAGAGAUCUAUUGUUUAACCACGUUAUUUUUCAGUGACGGAUCGAGAAAUAAAACUUAGGGGGAGCAGGGGCGAAGUUAGAAAAUUAGUUUGGGGUAAUCGAAAUUAAAUUAUAUAUUUUUAUGAUAGUAAAAAUAGAAUUUCGUCAUUUUAAUAGCCUAUAUCUUUAUAAUUUUUAGAGGAUUAAAUUAAUUUUUUAUCAUUUGAGGGGGGCAAAGUGCAAUUUUACCGUUAUUAAUUUAAAAUUUUAUAAAUUAUAAAUGGCCUAAAUUUUAAAAAAAAAAUCAUUUUAGGGGGUUGAGACCCUGUCAGCCCUCUCCCUAGACCCACCCCUAGUCUUUUUGAUACAAUUUGGCAGUUUAAGUACUUAAUUAGUGCAAAAAAAAAAAAACUAGGGGCUCAAUAGCUUUUUUUUGAAAAAGUUUGAGAGCCUUUUUGAUCCAUUUUGGCAGUUCAAAUGCCCAAUUCAGUGCAAGAAAAGAAGUAGGGGCUUAAUUAUUUUUUUUUAAAAAAAGUUUGAGAGCCUUUUUACACCAUUGAACCUUUUUUAUACUAAUUGGUAGACGCGAAGUUAUAAAUAUUUAAUUGUUAAUGUAAUUUUUAGAAUUUCUAAAGAAUAAUAAUAUUUAAAAUCUUAUAAUUUUUUUUAUUUCAUGUGCAUAAAAAACUUAAAUAAAUAAGUGUUUAGAUUUAGAUUAAUCACGCUGUCCAUUUAUUCAUAUUCAUUCUAGAGGUAUAACUUUUAGUUAUUUUAUAUGUUUUUAUAAUUAAAAAUAAUGGUAUAAAAGUCGAUUAAGUUUUAGCUCAAUUGACAUAGACAUUGUUGUUGAGGAGGACCUAUUGGUAGUUCUAGGCAUUGUGUCAAAAUGAACUAUAUUUGAUAAGAACCUAUAAUGAAAUUAAUGUUAAAAAAAUAAUAGUAUAAAAAGCUAAUAUUUUUAUAAAAGUUUCAUUUUUUUUUCAGUUUUUGGAUUUUUCUCAUAUAAAAUUUUAGAAUUGUUUCUUGAAUUUUUAUAGCUUUUCUUAUUAUGAUGUUAUAUAAUUUUAGAUUUUUAUACAUCUUUAAUAUUUUUUUAGUUUUUUAUUGUUUCUCAAAUAAUGCUUGGUUGAUGUAGCUUGCCAAGUGGUAUCGUGUUAUUGGCUGUCAAUUUCAAUAAUAAAAAAAUUUGGAGUUGAUUAGUUAUGAACUAACUCGAUUAAUCAAUUCUAAAUUUAAGUACUAAUUAAGUCCAAAAAAAGUUCAAAUUUCAAUUCAUGCAAGUUGGAUGGCAAUGAAACGGGAUUGGGGUGCGAAUAUUGUCAAAUUCACUAUUGUUUCAUAGUUGAUGUGUUUUGUCCCAUCACUCACCCCCGCUCCACUAUGGAUGUUUAAUUUUGAAAACCACUCACCCCAUGGAUGUUGGAUGCAUCCAUCCCUGCUUCACGUCGUGCCAUUUCAAUUUAAUUUUUAUUAGUUUUUUUAAAAAUAUUUUCAAUUUUUUUUUAAUUUUAAAAUAUUUUCAAUCUUUUUAAAACUUAUAAAUAUUUAAACAUAAUUAUUCAAGAAAAACAUUUAAACAUAAAACAUAUGAGUUUUUUAUAACAUAUUUUUACCCUUUAAUAGUUAUAAAUAUACAAGGGUCGAAUAGUAAUUUCAAAUAGUGAAAUAGAGUGGAUUGGGACAAACAAUUACCAUAACUGCUACACUUAAUCAUCGUAAAAAAAAAAAAAAAAAAUCUAUUUCAUCCCCGCCCAUAUUCCCUUUUAAAAGGAUCUACUCUAAAUGAAACAAACCAAUUCAAAAUCCAUUUAACAUCCUAAAUUCUAAAACUAAUUUUGAUAUGAAGUCUCAAUUAAAUUCAAGUAAUAAGGUUUUUUGAUAUGGUUUACACUACUAACUUCUAUAUGAAAACAACAACCAUUUCCCAUGAUGUUUGCGGCUUACCAACAAAUCCUUGCAGAUUUUCAACGUAGAAGAAAAUCAUGAAAAUAAAAAAAAAAAAAAAAAAAAAACUCUGGUUGGGAUUUGUUUCAUAUGGAAAACAGAAAACAAAACUUAAGUUAGUCAAAAUUACCAACUCACUGCUGACAACAUUUUUGUUGUAACCAAACAUUUGGAAGAAAAUAAACACAAGAGCACGCCGUUGACCUGUAUUUCUUUUAUUCUUCAAUUCUAUUUCAUCUUUAAGCUGUAACCAAUGAUAAUCAAAUCUUGACUUGCAUAAAAACCAAAGAAAACAAAAUGAAUGCAGCAGAAUUUUCUACCACAAAUGAGUAGUAAUUUACAGAUAAUAAAAUUAUCGAAAAACUAUUGAGAGUCGAAUUUCAUAUUAAUUGUGGUAUCCAUGAACUAGAAUGUAUUAAAAAAAGAAGGAUAUUGACCUUGAGACUACUUGCAAUUUUCAAAAACACUCUCAAUUCCUCUCCCCCUCUUCGGGCACCGGCCCAAGAUCCUGCCAUUGGCUACCACGCCGGCCGCUAGUCGCCAGCGCCGGCGCCGUGCAUGGAGGAGGAGAGUCCAAAAAUAUCCUUUUUUUUUUCUCACAUGCAGAUCCUCGGCCUCCAAACACUCCGACGACGGCUACAAAGGUAAAAAGGCCUCUCAUUUUUUAUUUUUAUAAUGCUUCAAAAUAAAAAAAUAAAAAAAAGGGAAAAAAUCACCUUUAAAAAAAACUGAUUCCUGUUUUUUAUUUCUCUUUGUUUUUUUUUUUCCAAAAGAGAACUCCCUUAAUUUUUCAUCUUUUUUAGCCCUUAAACCUACGUUGUUUAUCAAUAACCUUAAACUUACAUUGUUUACCGGAUGAAAAAUUUAAUAUUUAUUAACUUUGCUAAGGUGCACAUAUGCAAUUUAUUUAAAUCUAAAAACUAUAAAAUAUCUUAAAAUUAAAACUAAAAGUUUUUAAACUACUUGAUUGCUCCUUUCUCCUUUACUGAGCAGUAGCAAAGAUAAUCGAGACUAAAUUGAAAUCCAUGAAAGAAGACAUAAAACACCUCCAUACAAAGUGUCACACUCAAACAAACCAUUACAGAUAGUACGAAAUGCAAUGAAAGACAGAGGAAUUGCUACAAUAACAAAGACAGACACAUACCAAUGCAACCCUUCACCAUAGGCAAAACAAGAAAUUAUGAAAAUACAACACUAGUUCUUGAACAUCAUUUGCAGUAAUUAGAUCCUUCUUCGUCCACUGCUGCGAUUGCCUUUCUUUGACUUUCUUCUUCGCCUCUUCUCAUGUUGGUUUUCAACCAAAUUCACCAACCAUUUCGGCUUUCCAGUUUGGAAAACAACAUAUCCCACCAGCAUUCCGAACACUACUCCGCAUCCAUAACCUAUCAACACCACUUUCCAUUCAAAAGCAAUGUUUGAUUUUGAGCCAUCUUUUUCAAGCACAUUUGGAGGUGCUGGCUCAAUGAUGUUGCAACCUUUCGAGACCGGAAAUCCACAUAGUCCCUUAUUUCCUUCAUAUGAAUCAUUUCCAAAUGUGUUGAAUUGUUUUCCUUGAGGAAUCUGACCAUGGAGUUGAUUUUCAGAAACAUUUAAGGACGAAAGAAAUGACAGAUCUGCCAAUCUAUUUGGAAUCGUCCCAGACAACCUGUUUGAAGAUAGGUCCAACCAUUCAAGACUUGUCAAACUCCCUAUUGAGGAGGGGAUAUCACCAUUAAGGUUAUUAUGAGAAAGGUUGAGCCCUUUCAGUAAGUUAAGCUUCCCAAUAACCUUUGGAAUACCCCCUUCAGACUGAUUGUUUGAUAGAUCAAUGAUCAUCCACAUGGUGAAAAUUUUCACCAAUUCCCUAUCUUGUCCUUUCAUGACAAUUCCAAUGGAAUAGGUAUAGAAGCCACUACCUCGAGAAUCAUUCACCCCCAUGUACGACACCGUACUACCAAUCUUUUCUAGAUUUAUGAUAGCCUUGAAGCUGUUGAUGUAUCUCACUGGUAGGGGUCCAGAAAAAUAAUUACUUGAGAGGUCAAAAAUUUGGAUUUUAGAGAAAAAAGGGCUAGACUUGGAGCUAUUGACACGCAAGGAACCAUGCAUAUGAUUUGACUUCAAAACAAGAACUUGCAAAAAUGGAAGACUUCCCAACCAAUGAGGAAAUGUAUCAUUGAUCUUGUUGUUACCAAGAUCUAGCACUUCCAGACCAUUACAAUUAAGGAUGGAUGGUGUCAAAGGCCCUUCUAACAGAUUUCCAUUUAAGUUGAAAUUAGUCAGUUGGCAUCCCUUUGCAAAUGUUAGAGGAAUCGUCCCAUAGAACUCGUUCUUCUUCAGAUUGAAGACUUGAAGGAUGUUGCUCAGAUUUCCAAAACAUUGCGGAAUUGUUCCACUCAAGUAAUUGUGGGACAAAUCAAGAAUUUGAAGAUAAGUGGCAUUGCAUAUUAAAGAAGAGACCUCUCCAUUGAAACUGUUAUUUGAGAUCAAAAAGACAUUGAUGGUCGAAGCUGGAAUCGGAAGAUUUCCACGGAUCAAAUUGGAGCUUAAGUCAAGAAAUUCAAUAUUCUUCCAUGGAAAGUGCUCAACUUCUGUCAAAGAGUUGUGAGAUACGUUUAAGUAAGUCAAAGAGUCAUUCCCCACCUCUUGCAUCCACUGUGGAAUCUUGCCUUCAAUUUUGUUGCAAGAGAGGUCUAACCUUUCCAAACUUUUAAGCCCUUUUAAAAACUGGGGGAAUUCACUAAGAUUGCAAGAUGACAAAAAUAAGCUUCUAAGAUUAACAGUAGAUGUAGUAUUAGAUGUUAAGUAUAGGCUGUUAAAUGAAAGGUCGAGAUAUUUUAGAUUUGGAAGGUUUGAGAACAUACGUAACUCUAUGACACCACUUAGAUUAUUUGAGGAUAAAACGAGCAAGGUAAGAUUGAGAAGUUGGAAUAUUGAAGAUGGAAAAGGACCUUGGAGUUUAUUAUUGUUUAGAUAUAAAUGUUCUAGUGAUUUGGAUUGGAAUUCUUGGAUAUGCCCACUGAAUUGAUUUUGAGAGAGAAUUAUAACCUUUAAGGAGGGAGCAGUAUACAACCAUGACGGAAGUGUUCCAUUGAGUAAAUUGUCAGAUAAGCCUAAAUAUAUUAGAUUAGGAAAAGUGGUUACCUCAUCUGGAAUGGAUCCUUCUAAAGAAUUUUCAGAUAUUCCCAAGUAUUCCAGCUGGGUUAGGUUUAGAAUUGACAAUGGAAUUUGUCCACUCAAUUGGUUCUGCGACAAGUCUAAAUGAGUGAGUUGCAAGAGGUUCCCCAAUGAUAUUGGAAUUUGUCCACUCAAUUGGUUCUGCCACAAGUUUAAAUCAGUGAGUUGCAAGAGGUUCCCCAAUGAUCUUGGAAUUUGUCCACUCAAUUGGUUCUGCCACAAGUCUAAAUCAGUGAGUUGCAAGAGGUUGCCCAAUGAUCUUGGAAUUUGUCCACUCAAUUGGUUCUGCCACAAGCCUAAAUUAGUGAGUUGCAAGAGGUUCCCCAAUGAUCUUGGAAUUUUUUCACUCAAUUGGUUCUGCCACAAGCCUAAAUGAGUGACUUGCAAGAGGUUCCCCAAUGAUCUUGGAAUUUUUCCACUCAAUUGGUUCUGCCACAAACCUAAAUCAGUGAGUUGCAAGAGAUUCCCCAAUGAUCUUGGAAUAUUUCCACUCAAUUGGUUCUGCCACAAGCCUAAAUGAGUGAGUUGCAAGAGGUUCCCCAAUGAUCUGCCACAAGCCUAAAUGAGUGAGUUGCAAGAGUUUCCCCAAUGAUCUUGGAAUUUGUCCACUCAAUUGGUUCUCACACAAGUCUAAAUAAGUGAGUUGCAAGAGGUUCUCCAAUGAUCUUGGAAUUUGUCCACUCAAUAGGUUCUGUGACAAGUCUAAAUAAGCGAGUUGCAAGAGGUUCCCCAGUGAUCUUGGACCCGGUCCUGAUAAGUUGGAAUGGGAGAGAUCUAAAACCUUCAAGGACACAAGAUUCCCCAUCCAGUCAGGCAAUCCUCCAAAAAAAUUUGCGCCUCCAAGAAUCAACUACUCCAAAGAUGAUAAAUUUGUGAAUGAGACAGACAAUCCUUGAAAGAAGGAAUUUCCUGAGAGAUCUAAGUACUUUAAGGCCUGUAGAUUAUCAACUGAAUCAAUGAAUUCUGUAGAGAAGGACACGAACGACAGAUCCAAAUGUUCAAGAUUGCUGCUCCGAUUGAACUUCAAAGGAUCAAGAUUGAGGUUUUGGUUGCCUCCCAAGUUGAGGAGAUUGAGGUUUGGCAAAUCAAAAAUGUUUUUUGGGAAUUUUCCUUGCAAAUCACAAAAAGCAAGACUGAGAGACCUUAGAGAAGAGGAUAGAUUCAUGAAGACAUGAGCAUUAACAGAAGACAUGUCCAUUCCAUCCAAAAACAGAUGUCUGACCUCGGUUAGGUUGUGAACAAGUCCCUCCAGAGCAUGUUUGUCAAUUGUUUGUGCAUCACCCCAACAGGAGAGAUCAAGUGAAACCAAUUUUGACAGGUGGGAGACUUGGGAUGGGACUUCUCCUGCAAACCCUGUAUUGGAAAGGUUGAGGUAGAAUAGGCUUGUAAACCGACCUAAGUCGGAUGGAAUUUUGGAAAGAUUAAAAUCAUUGAAGGCAAGGUUGAGUUUUUGAAGGUGAGGAAGAAGGAAGAGAGUGGUAUUGGAAGGGAAGUUGCCAGAUAGCCAACUGCAGCUCAAGUCAAGGGCAAUAACAUGAGCAUUUAGGUGGUCACAAGUGACCCCAUCCCAUGAGCAGCAAUCUGUACCCUCCUUCCAUGAAUUUGUCUUGGGAUAAGAUUUAGGGCCGCAAGACGAAUAAGCAGCCUCUGUUAUGGAAAAAGAGUUCUUGAACUGGAUUAGUAAAGAGCAGGAGUGAGAUCCUGAAGAAGAAAAAGAAGCAUAAAGAUGGGGAAAGAAGAGGAAUAGGCAGAGAAAGAGACAGGGGGGCAUGUUAUGUUUGUAGAGGAAGAUGAAGGAUAGGAAUGGUAUUUAUAGGCAACAAAUAAUACAACAACAUUGGUGUUACAGUCUUUUUUAUUUUCUCGAGUUCUAUGAGUUUGUUUAAAUUCGCCGUGAAUACUCGAUUUUUUUUUACGUUUUUGAUUCAAAUACCGCUAAAAACAUUAAUCGGUUGCCAUUAAAUAUGUCAUUUUCUAUUAGCUGCAAGAAAACUAUCCGAUAAACUGCAUCUUCUUCUUUAGAUGAAAUUUUGUAAAAAAAAUUUGACAUUAUCUCUUAUAUGGUCCUUCAAUUUUAUUUAAAAAAUGAUUUUAACUCUCCAUUUAAUUUUUCAAACAAAUUAACGCAACAUUUUAGUUAUUGUCUACUGUCCAAUAAUGCCAUGUGUAUCAGUACAAACAUUCCCAUUUCUUUUUUUUUUUUUUCAUUUUCCCAAAAACUCAUUUCACUCUUAGCUUUAUAAAGAAAAAAAAAGUUAUUUUAGCCCUUAAUUUAAUUUUUCAUCUUCUUUAACCCUUAAACUUAUAUUGUUUAUCAAAUAACCCUUAAACUUGCAUUGUUUAUCAGAUGAAAAAAUUAAUAUCUAUUAACUUUGCUAACGUGCAUACAUAUGCAACCUCAUUUAAAUCUAAAAAAUAUAAAAAUAAUUAAAUAUGUAUAAAUCUAAAAAUAUCUUAAAAUUAAAACUAAAAUUUUUUAAACUAAUACAAAUUUUUAUUAUUUAAAAAAUCUUAAAAUUUUCAAAUUAAAUUCCAUUUGUUUUCCACCAUUGAAGAACACCUUCAAUCACAUCAACAACUUCAUACUAUUUUGCCUAGAAAUUGUUUUGCAAAUUUAUUUUGUUUAUUUAUUUCUAAACCCAUAUUUCUUUUCUAUAACCCCAAUGGUAGCAAAGGAAAUGUAAAAAAAAAAAAACUUAAAAAUCAAAUUUUUAAUGAUGAAGGGAAUUGAUUUAUAUUAAAACCAAGGAUUACACUGAAAAUACAAAGAGUUGAAGGUACUAAACAAGCAAAUAAACCCUAGCUACAGUGAUAAUUAACUUAACUAUCUACUAUUGGAACCAAGAAAAACUAAAAGAAAACAUGAAUUAAACCCUAGAGUUAUGAAGAAGAAAACAAAAACUCUAAAAAUAAAGAGAAAAAUUGAAAACCGUGAAAUGUUAAGUGUGCCCUUUGUUCAGCCAAUUUUUUGCCCUUUCUAGCAAAUUACAGAUCCAAAAAUAGUGACCAAAUUGUCUUUGAUGGUCUAAUUUUGGUUAGGGGGAAAAGGAUUACCCCUACGGUUAUUUUUUUGUCUCCUCCCAUCAAUGAUAUUGCGAUACCCAAAGUUUGGUAUCGCGAUAUCCACGACAGUCUUGAGGAUCCUUGGGAGUUUUGGGUAUCGCGAUACCUUAUGACCGUUAUCACGAUAACACUGUUGAUAUGCGGUACCCUCUUUCUAGGUGACAUUUUCGAUCCUUCUGAGCCACCAUGGGAUCUCUGCAUCACUCAUCAACCUCAUCAGAUUCCUCGGAUGCCAUUUGGCCAUCUCAGAUCUCAAAAUAGUAUCAAAAUGGACACUAAUCAUUUAUUAGUAUAAAGAACUAAAACUAAAUAAAAAAACGACAAAGAUAUCUAAAUUGCUUGAAAAUAAGUUUUUAAGUGUGAUGGAGAGCCUAAUUUGACAUAUCAAUUUACAACAGAUUAUAAACAUAAUUUGCGGAACCUUGUUAAAAUUUUGAUUUUCUUUAUUAGUUUCUUUCAAUAUUCUGUACGGUACAUUUGUAGUAAUAUAUUGUGCAGAUCAUAGACUACAUUGCUUUAUUAGUGUUCUAUUGUUAAUCUAUUAUUAUUAUUAUUAUUAUUAUUAUUAGCACCACUUCCUUUUUACCAUAUAAUUUUUAUUCAUAAAAAUGAAGAGUUGAUUUACUAAAGAAAGAAGAAGAAUUGAUGAGAUUAUAAAGUAUAUUGACUUGGUCUUGCUUCCUUUAUAUGUAUGAAUGUGGAAAUCGGCAUAAUGCCAACUUAUUUUCCACGCAGAGGAAGAAAAUGGUGCUCUCUUGUCACUCCCUUUAACUUGACAAAAUACAAGACAUGUGAUCCACCAAUGAAUGUUUGACUAUCUCCAUCUCACUUUUUAUUAAUCAAGGAAUAUAAACUUACUAUUUCAACAUUUCAUAAGCAAAAGCUAAAAUAAUAUUGGUCACAUCCCAUAUCUUCAUAAGACAAAAGUUAAAACAGCCUUCAGUUCAUCUACAUUCUACAUUCAUAUCAAUUGCACACAAAGUCAUAUCUGCAAGCAUCAAAUAUUAACCUUUCAACUCCAUAAUAACAACACCAAUUUCUAACAAUUGCAGAAGAAUGUCCAAUCAUUCCACACAAAUUAACAACAAUUUGUAGCAUCCACUACAUUCAUAUCAAUUCCACACAAAUUAAGACUGCAAUUUCUAACUUGUUUAUACCCUCAAUGAAGCUACCUAAAAGAUAUGAAUUUUUUAAUAUUAUAAAGUUAAGUGACCAAAACAUAAAUUUUCUACUAGAUUAGUACUUGAGGUGUAGUUUACCUUAUAAUAAAUAACUAUAAUAAAUUUGUGAAUCAAUUGCAUAAUUAAAUUAAGAUUUUCAAGCCUUUUACCAAACCAAACUUGAAAGGAGAAAAAGAAUCAUGAAAGAAUCCAGUUUUAAAAGCCUUUCACUUUUCCCAAGUCCAAUACACAAAUUCACAAGAUCCCACACUCUCAUUUAUCCUCUUCAAAAAGCAAGGUCCACAACAAAAGAUUAAUUUAGAUAUUAAUUAUUUUAUUUUAAUGGGAUAUAAUUUGAUAUUUUGUUUUUAUUUUAAUUAAGUGUGUUUAAAUUAGUGAUAUUUGUUAUAAUAAUUAAGUUAUACAUUCGGGAAGGUUGAUAAUAAUGUUCACACCAUAGAUGUUGUGAAGAGCCACUAAAAGUGACAAUUUAUCUAUGCUAAAAAGGUGUUUGAAUAGAGUAAUAUUGGACAAUGUCCUACCUCAAGACCCAAAAGGGAUGCCAAUUUAAGACCCAAGGAAGCCUUCGACUUAUCUCACUUGUGUAAGGAGCUAGAGUUAUCUCUUUACUAUUAACAACAUAAUUAAUCAUAUUCUAUAAUUCACCUUUAAGGUGUCUUAUUCACUUGUUUAGGUCAACUAUACCAAAUUCAGCAUUUUAUUUCGCCAAACCAAAAUUGUCAUUUGCCAUAUAGGGAUCGCCAAGCCUAUAAAAGCCAAAAUCUUUUCAAAGAUUUGCCUCGUUUAGCUCGAUUCUUCAAUUUAUCUUCUCAAUCUCAAUUAUUAACGUUUGUCUCUCUAACUUGCCUCCUCAAAUUUAAUCAUUAAAACUAAAUGCAUUACGUGCUCACCAUACUACAAGAACAUAAACUUAUUUAUUUCAAGAGGAUCACUUUAUAAAUUUCCAUCAAUUAGGGAAAAAUUAUUAUACCUCUAUAAGUAUAUUUUAAAAUAUGGCGAUAUUUCAAGAUAGCACCUAUCACAUUUCAAUAAAACUCAUUAUAUAUCUACCACCAUCAUAAUUAAGUAAUAGAGCAUCAUUCUAUAUGGACACACAUCAAGCUCAUUUCCUUUUAUGUUAAUUAUUCACGUAAUUCUAAUUUUCAAUUAUUUCCUUAAAUAUUAAAAAUAACUACUCUGUUAAUGCCAUGUAGCUAUUUUGAUUAAUGAUUUCCAUUUAAUUUGUUUUCCUCCUGACUUGGAAAUGUGGACUUGACAACAAAAUGAAAUUUGAGCAUGACACCUUAAUUUUGUGGUUGGUUUGACGAAUACUGAAGGUUGGUCAUCUUGAAACAUAUAUAAAAUUAAAUGAUUGAAUUAUUGAAAUUAUUAAAUAAAAUAAUUAUGAAAUUAGAAUUUAAGGUUAGAGGUUAUUUUUAGAAUUUUAAAUUUUCUUUUACUGCUAACUUGUAAAAAAAUUAUGAAAAUACAACAGAGAUCAUUGACACAUUUUGUUCUCCUUUCUCCUUUACUGAGCAGUAGCAAAGAUUAUCGAGACUAAAUUGAAAGUCAUGAAAGAAGACAUAAACAACACCACCAUACAAAAUGUUACAUUCAAACAAACCAUUACAGAUAGCACGAAAUGCAAUGAAAGGCAGAGGAAUUGGUACGAUAAUAAAGACAGACACGUACCAAUGCAACCCUUCACCAUAGGCAAAACGGUCUACAGAACAAUAAAUUAUGAAAAUACAACACUAAUUCUUCAACAUCAUUUGCUGUAAUUAGAUCCUUCUUCGUCUAUUGCUCCGAUUGCCUUUCUUUGACUUUCUUCUUCGCCUCUUCUCUUGUUGGUUUUCAACCAAAUUCACCAACCAUUUCGGCUUACCAGUUUGGAAAACAACAUAUCCCACCGACAUUCCGAACACCACUCCGCAUCCAUAACCUAUCAACACCACUUUCUAACCAAAAUCAAUGUUUGAUUUUGAGCCAUCUGUUUCAAGCACAUUUGGAGGUGCUGGCUCAAUGAUGUUGCAACCUUUCGAGACCGGAAACCCACAUAGUCCCUUAUUCACUUCAUAUGAAUCAUUUCCAAAUGUGUUGAAUUGUUUUCCUUGAGGAAUCUGACCAUGGAGUUGAUUUUCAGAAACAUUGAAGGACGAAAGAUACUGCAGAUCUGCCAAUCCAUUUGGAAUCGUCCCAGACAACCUGUUUGAAGAUAGGUCCAACCAUUCACAACUGGAUUAGUGAAGAGCAGGAGUACUGAGAUCCUGAAGAAGCAUAAAGAUGGGGAAAGAAGAGGAAUAGGCAGAGGAAGAGAUAGGGGGCCAUGUUAUGUUUGUGGAGGAAGAUGAAGGAUAGGAAUGGUAUUUAUAGGCAACAAAUAAUACCACAGUGUUACAGUCUUUUUUUCUUUUACGUUGAGAAGCUAUAGACAUUAGAUUUUCAAAAUUUUUGUAUUUUUCACAAUCAUCAACAACGACUUAGUCUUCUUUUUACCAUAUAUUUUUCAUUCUUAAAAUUGGAUAUUAGAUUUUCAAAAUAUUUGUAUUUUUCACAAUCAUCAGCAAAAUCUUGUAUUUCGUUUGAACUGUCUAAACAACUAAAAAAAUUAAGAUUGAUGAGAGUACAAAGUAGAUUGACUUAGUCUUUUUUCUCAUAACCCUUAAAGAAUGUGUGUAUCUAUUCACUUGCAGGUCAACCAAAGCUAAUUAAUGUGGAAAUUCUUUUUCACAACAAAAUUGUACUCUAUUCACUACGUUUGAGGAAGAAGACUGUUGGAAAUUUAAUCCACCGAUUCCAUAAAAACGUGUAUACUUAUAUAUAUAUAUAUAUAUAUGUAUAACCUCAUAUAAAAUCUGAUAAAUUUAUUUGGGAAUAGUUAUUUUUCAUUCGUUAAUUAUUUCUCUUUUAAUCAAGUAAAAAAAUUAAAACUAAAAAGACAUUAUGAUUUAUUUGGCAUUUUUUAACUUCACAAAUAAAACGUCAUUUUAACUUUCUAUUCUUUUUUUUAUCUCUUUUAGCCUUGAAACUUAUAUGGUUCGUUAAAUCACUCAUUGAUGACAUAUUAACCUUUGAGUUAAACUCAAAUUGCUCUUCUCUUUGUUAUAAAUUAAGAGUAUAACUAAUUUUGAUAAAAAUGGUUACUUUUCAUUAACUUAGUUUAAAGGACUAUAACACGUAAAGUUUGGUCUAUUGCAGAAUUCACAUGUAAUGUGGGACAUUUUUUAACUUUACAAACAAAAAGUCAUUUGCGCCACAAUGUACAAUACUUCCACACCAUCUGCAGUAUUGCUACGUUUACUUGAGGGAAAACAAAGACAUGAAUGCUGGAAAUUUUAACUAGUUUGUACCGUCAAUAAAGCUACCUACCUAAAAGCCAUUUAGGAUAUCAAUUCCUGUAAUUGGAUUAAUCUCAUCGUUGCUGCAAUCUUUUGACAGUGUAAUCCAAUCUUAAAUAUGUUACUCUGCAGUGCUAUCGUAAAUAUUACUCUUAAAAUUGUGGAUAGAUAUAUAGGUUUGGCACAAAAUUAAGAAUACACAAAGGCAGGAUGAAUCAUUCCAUGUUUGAACAUCUGCAACAUAAAUGCAUAUGGCAAAAGGGCUCAAACCAUACCUUAUGUUCAUGAUGUUAACAUUAAUGGGAGACAACAUUAAUGGCAAACAAUACAAAGUGGUGCAAGUUUAGCACCCUAAAGUUGACUUUGAAAAAGUGGCAUGGGAUAAAUUUUUUUGGUCCUUGAGAUAAUGGGCUAUUUAUUGUUUGGUCCUUAAACUUCAACUAUAAAUAGGCCUUCUCAUUUCUCAUUUCAAUUCAUCCCAACCAAUCUUUCUCUCUUAGUUUUCUCUCUUCUCCCAUUUGAGAAUUCUUAAGGAAUUCAAUUUGUUUGUAAUACUUUGGAGAUAGUAAAGUUAUCAUCUGGUGUUAGUGCCCGAGGACGUAGGUAUAAUUUACCGAACCUCGUUAAAACUCUUGUGUUCUUUCUUGUCCUAUUUUUCUUUCAAUAUUUGAGGGUAUAAUAGUAGUAUUUAAUUGUGCUAUUAAAUUACUAUAGAAGGGAUAUUCUGUCUAAGGAAAGACUUGGUAUUUAAGAGAUCCAUGUGAUCCACCUCUCUUCCCUGGGAAUUGAACUUUGUGUGAUUUUUUAGUACAAUAAUUUACACGCUUCCGACCCUAUUGGAACAAUACAUGAAUUCUCAUCAUCACGUGUUUAUAAAUGCAACUCAAACUUCAAUAAUUGAAUCUUUUGUAAUUCUACAUGUAUUUUUUUUUAUGGUGAGCAGUAUAAUAUUUACUAAAAAUUGAAAUUCAAGAAAGAAGCCAUACAUAGUUGCACCAUACAAGAUGUUACACUCGAACUAAACCCUUACAAAUAGUACAAAAUGCAAUGAAAUACAGAGGAAUUGGUACAAUCAUAAAGACAGACACAUACCAAUGCAACUUUUCACCAUAGGAAAAACUUUCUGACAGACUACUAAACAAGAAAUUAUGAAGACACAGCAGAAAGGCUUUAACUUCAUUUGCACCAACUAUAUCCUUCUUCAUCCAUUGAUGCGAUUGCUAUAUUUUGGUUUUCUUCUUCGCCUCUUCUCAUGUUGGUCUUCAACCAAAUUCACAAUCCUUUUCGCUUCUUCUGAGCCACCAUGGGCUCUCUGCAUCACUCACCAACCUCAUCAGAUUCGCCGGGUGCCAUUUGGCCAUCUCAGGUCUCAAAAUAGUAUCAAAAUGCACACUAAUCAUUUAUUAAUAUAAAGAACAAAAACUAAAUAAAAAAACAACAAAGAUAUCUAAAUUGCUUGAAAAUAAGCUUUUAAGUGUGAUGGAGAGCCUCAUUUAACAUAUCAAUUUAUAGUAGAUCAUAAACAUAAUUUGCGGAACAUUGUUAAAAUUUCGAAUUUCUUUAUUAGUUUUCUUUCAAUAUUCUGUAUGGUACAUUUGUAGUAAUAUAUUGUGCUGAUCAUAGACUACAUUGCUUUAUUAAUGUUCUAUUGUUAAUCUUUUAUUAUUAUUAUUAUUAUUAUUAACACCACUUCCAUUUUAUCAUAUAAUUUUUUUUCAUAAAAAUGAAGAGUUGAUUUACCAAAAAAUUGUAUUUCAUUUGAACUCCCUAAAGAAAGAAGAAGUGAUGAGAUUAGAAAGUAUAUUGACUAGGUCUUGCUUCCUUUAUAUGUAUGAAUGUGGAAUUUGGCAUAAUGCCAACUUAUUUUCCACGCAGAAGAAAAUGGUGCUCCAUCCACUCUGUUUAACUUGACAAAAUACAAGACAUGUGAUCCACCAAUGAAUGUUUGACUAUCUCCAUCUCACUUUUUAUUAAUCAAGGAAUAAAAACUUAACAUUUCAACAUUUCAUAAGCAAAAGCUAAAAUAUUGACCUUUGAACUCCAUAAUAACAUAAGUUAAAACAAAAGUUAAAACAGCCUUCAGUUCAUCUACAUUCCACAUCAAAUCUGCAAGCAUCAAAUAUUGACCUUUGAACUCCAUAAUAACAACACCAAUUUCUAACAAUUCCAGAAGAAUGUCCAGUAACUCCACACAAAUUAACAACAAUUUGCAGCAUCCACUACAUUCAUAUCAAUUCCACACAAAUUAAGACUGCUUGUUUAUAAAGCUACCUACUGCAAAUUUUGUAUUGCUUGCAAUGAAUUGACCGUCAUUUUCUAUUACUUGCCACAAAAUUGGAAUUCUGAUAAGUUUAAUUUGGAAUAUGAUCAAUUUUGGUUAAAUUGGAGUGAAUAUUACUAUUUCUGUUUUAGCAAUUAAAGCAACCUAUAUGUACCCUUUUACACUCUGCAUUGUUCCAUGUUUCAAUUCAUUACAUCAUUCCUUCAACUCUGCUAUAUAUUAUCACCGUCUCCACAUAACCAAACCUUUUACUGCUAACUUGUAAAAAAAUUAUGAAAAUACUGUCGAAACCAUUUUUUUAUUUGAAAAAUGAGAGUCGACUUUAAGAAACAAAAAUGAGAGUCGCUACCAAUCUUUUUUGAGGUGUGAUCAUAUGCGCAAGAAAAUUUGCUCUCACUUACUCUCGAAAUUUACAGUAGGGGCUUAGGCUACCAAUAAAUUCUCAAUUAGAUAAUGAAUCAUCUACGAGCAACGAUUCCAAACCACAAUGAAUUGAGAGCUCAAACUAGCUCUUCCUCUAACUCAUAGAAGGCUCUAAUGAAUCCGAGGCUUCACACAUGACAAUCACACAAUACUCACAAUCAAAUGACAGCCAAGGACCCACUUAAACUAACCAAAACACAAGCCUAAGCUACCUUCUCAUGUAACCAAACCCUUUAGCAUGAUGAAAUUAAAAUGCAAAUAUAUUGAUCUACACUUAACAUUUUCACAAGAAACAAGUUUCAUUCAUCGCCAUAUUCAUCUAUAACUAAACUCCAACCUUUAAACCACACAAAACUAUACAUUUCAAGGUAUCGACAUUUUUCGACAAGUUUUGGCUAUAAUAAUGAAAAUUCAUUAAAACACGAGAAAUCUUUAAUAGAACUUAGAAGUAAUUUUAGAAACCUUCUAAUCAAGUUAAAACAAGUUGAAAAACACUUUUAAAUCACAUUUUUAUCCACAAUCUCAAAUUCCACUAUUAAUGACCCAAUUUUUGGGUUUUAAUUAAAACAUGUCAAUUUUAAAAUCUAAAUAACAUUAAAAAUUAAUGGUAAAGUAAAUGGUUACUUUUGAUGGGAGAUUAAUUGAGUUUUGACGUAAAUUUGAAAAACGAAGAAGAUGAUGAAAUCUAUGGCAUUUUUGAGUGUUUUUCUUAGAGAUUUAUGAAGGUAAUUGACUUGGGAGUUAUAAGAAAUCAAAGUAUUAUUGUUUGGGAAUAAAAUAAAUAAAUUGAAAGAUGAAGGGAAUAGCAAAGGACGGCAAUAGCAAACUUUGGAGAGUAACCAUCGUGAAAUAGAACUGGGAUUGGGGUUUAUUAGGUUCAAUUUUAAAAAUUGGUAAAACUGCAAUAUAAGUGCUCACUAUUUUAACUUUGUUACAAAUUAUUCCUUUUUUUCUAAAAUUUAGAAAUUUAAAACUCAUUUUCAGAAAUUGACUCCAUUCCCUAAUAGCCAUUGUAGAAAACAUUAUCAAAUACUAACCUUAAGAAAUUUGAGCGCAUAUAGGCUAAAAUUCCUAAAAUACACUCGAAAUUCUUAGACCCUAUUUUGGAGUGUUACACACAUGGUCAUGAUUCAUGUUGAAUUAAUCCAUCAUUCACCGUAAUAAGACUUGUCAUUGUAAUAAUUUAUUUUGAUACGUAUUAUUUUAUGAUGCAUAAACAUCAUAAAAUUUUCUAUUAUGCAAUAAUAGAAUUAGUUAAAUCAUCUAAUAUCUAAAAAAUUAUUAUUAUUUUAAUAAAAUCAUUCAUCAAAUUCCUGUUUUCAAAUUUCAUACAUGAAAUUAACAAAUAAAGAUAGCUCUAAAUAGCAAAACAUGGUAGGAUGGUUUUGUUGUGCAAACUUAGGAUUUCAAUUCUCAUCAAGGAACUUGCAAGCCUAUUAUAGUAGAAAUGUUCUAUCCAAAUGAUAAAGAUGUUGAUGCAACAUUUUAGAUUGCAAAUUCCUUGAUCACAUUUGGAAUCCUAAGCACAGGGACUUGCAAGCCUCUUAGCUCCAGGAACUUUAGAUUGUACCUGUUCAAAACAUUUUUCAAAGAAGGAACCAUAGGCGUCUAUUCUGGUUCAUCUCAUUGAAUACAUCAAAUGGAGGAUCAAUACGCUGAAAAAGGGACAACGGAAAGAACUUUAGCCAAUAACUUGAAUUUUAUAACUACUCCUAUGCCAACCAGCAAACCAUAACAACACAAAUGUUUGUUCUGUUAAGGAACAAUACACAGACAUAUUCACCUACCCUUGGUGCUGACAGAAUAUGCCCAUUCACUUGGGUGAAAUUAGAGUUGAUAUUAACCCCACAAGAUUUCUGCACCAUAAUUACUGCUAAGUAAAACCUGCACAUCAAUUUUCAUUCUUCACUAGAAACUGAAUCUAUUUUUGUAAGUAAAAAUUAGUUGUAUUCAUUGUUCACAUAAUUGAUCUUUUGUUGUGGAAGUAUUGUAUUUCCGGUAAUCCAUUAAGUAUUCAGUGUUUGAUGCAAUAGAUUUGUAUUUUAUUAUUUUAUUUUGUGGAAGGAUCCUUUAUCUAUUUUGUUUUUUACAUUUCUGAUAAGUUUACAUUUUUCAGUAAUUAACUUAUGUUGUUUUUGCCAAACUUUGUAGCGUUUCACUUUUGGUAAAAUUUCAUCCUUGGUCCCUUUAAACUCCUUUUUGCUUUAAUUUGAUUGCUUUCUAGCGUUGCAAAUUACAUGACACUCUUCAAAUGUCUUACUAAAUUCUCACUUCUACGAGUGCUAUGAUAAUCAAAUAAAGUUCAAUUCAAUUUUAAGUUCCAUACAACACUUACAAGGCUACAAAAUGUGUCCUCAACCACAAACAAUCCAAAUUUGCAGAGAAACCACCCAUUAUAUAUAGGUUUGCCAAUGAGAUGGCAAGCAGACUGCUAGCUAGAAAUUCAUGCAUCUUUGAAUCACCAAUUCAAUUAAUAAGCUUAACUAGAGGAAAUAAGGACUUUACAUCCACCAAUUAAAGCAACCUAUAUGUACCCUUUUACAGUCUUCAUUGUUCCAUAUUUCAAUUCAUUACAUCAUUCCUUCAAUUCUGCUAUAUAUUAUUACCGUCUCCAGAUAACCAAACCUUUUACUGCGAACUUGUAAAAUAAUUAUGAAAAUACAACAGAGAUCAUUGAGACAUUGUUGAAGCUGGCUUGGAUGAAUGCCAAGCUGUCCGAGCCAUGCAAGUCGCGGCUGAAGCUUAUGCUGCUGUUUUGCUACUUUCAAAUAGAUAUUUUAUUACUUAGUUAGAUAUGAACUAAGUUUUUGAUAUGCUUGAUGUACUUAGGUGCUGAUAGAUUGAUAAAUCAGCUUUACCAAGUGUACAAGCAAUGUUUAUAAAAGAAUAAUAUUACAUAACUAAACUAAAUAACUAAAUUAAAUAAUAUUAUAAAGUUAAGAGACCAAAACAUAAAUUUUCUAAUAGAUUAGUACUUGAGGUGUAGUUUACCUUAUAAUAAAUAACUAAACUAAAUUUGUGAAUCAAUUGCAUAAUUAAAUUAAGAUUUUCAAGCCUUUUGUGAUUGGUAUUGGACCAAACCAAACUUGAAAGGAGAAAAAGAUUCAUGAAACAAUCCACUUUUAAAAGCCUUUCACUUUUCCCAAGUCCAAUACACAAAUUCACAAGAUCCCACGCUUUCAUUUAUCCUCUUCAGAAAGCAAGGUCCACAACAAGAGAUUAAUUUAGAUAUUAAUUAUUUUAUUUUAAUGGGAUAUAAUUUGAUAUUUUGUUUUUAUUUUAACUAAGUGAGUUUAAAUUAAUGAUAUUUGUUAUAAUAAUUAAGUUACACAUUCGGGAAGGUUGAUAAUAAUGUUCACACCAUAGAUGUUGUGAAGAGCCACUAAAAGUGACAAUUUAUCUAUGCUGAAAAGGUGUUUGAAUAGGAGUAUUGGACAACGUCCUACCUCAAGACUCAAAAGGGAUGCCAAUUUAAGAUCCAAGGAAGCCUUUGACUUAUCUCACUUGUGUAAGGAGCUACAGUUAUCUCUUUACUAUUAACAACAUAAUCAUAUUCUAUAAUUCACCUUUAAGGUGUCUUAUUCACUUGCUUAGGUCAACUAUACCAAAUUCACCUUUAAAGCAUUUUAUUUCGCCAAACCAAAAUUGUCAUUUGCCAUAUAGGGAUCGCCAAGCCUGCAAAAGCCAAAAUCUUUUCAAAGAUUUGCCUCGUUUAGCUUGAUUCUUCAAUUUAUCUUCUCAAUCUCAAUUAUUAACGUUGUCUCUCCAACUUGCCUCCUCAAAUUUAAUCAUCAAACGUGCAUUACGUGCUCACCAUACUACAAGAACAUAAACUUAUUUAUUUUCAAGAGGAUCACUUUAUAAAUUUUCAUCAAUUAGGGAAAAAUUAUUAUACCUCUAUAACUAUAUUUUAAAAUAUGGCGAUAUUUCAAGAUACCACCUAUCACAUUUCAAUAAAACUCGUUAUAUUUCUACCACCAUCAUAAUUAAGUAAUAGGGCAUCAUUCUAUAUGGACACACAUUAAGCUCAUUUCCUUUUAUGUAAAGUCCUCUACAUAACUUAAAAGGGAUGGAAAACAUAGAGCAAAACUCUAUAUAUCCAUUCUCUCCUAAAGCUUUCAACUCACUCUUAACAAUACUACCACUACCAUGUGAAUCACCCUUAACUGUUAACCUUUUAAAAAUAACUACUCUGUUAAUGCCAUGUAGCUAUUUUGAUUAAUGAUUUCGUUUAAUUUGUUUUCCUCCUGACUUGGAAAUGUCGACUUGACAACAAAAUGAAAUUUGCGCAUGACACCUUAAUUUUGUGGUUGGUUUUGUUGGAAUAUUUUCAAAUAUUUAUAGUAUCCCAAUAACUAUAAAUGAAUGGGUGUAAUUAAUCAAAAGAUAAAACUUUUGGUCAUUGGUCAAAAGUUAUAUCAUUUGAUUUUUUAAAAAAGAAUUAUAACUAUUCAAAAAAUAUUAUUUGAAUAGUUACAAAAUUAAAUGAAUAAUUAUUAUUAUUUAUUUAUUCAUAAAGACACCUAUUGAAAGAUGUCUCUAUGAAGAGACAUGAAAAUUCCUAUAAAUAGGAAUAGGAUUUCAUUUGGAAAUCAUAUCAACAAAUUCUAAUAUUAUUUCUUCUCUUCCUUCAUUUUCUAAUAUUAUUAGAUUAUUCUAUAAAGUAUUGCUGCAGAAAUCCUUUGUAGAAAUUGAGUUUUUGUUAUACAUUACUCAGUGCAUAGUGGACUAUUCUCGUCAGUGCAAAACGCAAAUAGUCAUUGGCUUCAUUGUAUCCUCGAGGUUAAUUUGCUUGGAACUCGUUUGCACACUGAAGAUAAGUGGAGGCGAAUAUAACCUUAAAGAUAGUGGCUUGAUACACGCCUUGGAGCCUGUCCUAUUUCUUCUUUUUCUUUUCGAGUUCCGAUCGUGUGUUCAAGUUUUUUUCUUACCGGAGUUUUGUACUAACAAUUUUAAGGUUAUAUUUCAUGAUGACUACCACAACACAUGAAAGUGGAACACUAAGGGAGUUGGCUUCCAACUUUGUUAAACUUGAUCGUUUUGAUGGUGGCAAUUUUCGACGAUGGCAGAAAAAGAUGCACUUUUUGUUAUCAACUUUGAAUAUUGCUUAUGUUUUGGAUACUCCAAGACCUGAAGAGAAUGAAAAUGAAUCUGUUGCUGCAACCCGAGAAAGACAAAAAUGGGACAAUGCUGAUUACAUGUGCAUGGGCCACAUAUUGAAUGGUUUAUCUGAUGGUUUGUUCGACACCUACCAAAACGACGUCACCGCUAAAGAAUUAUGGGACAAAUUGGAGGCAAGAUACAUGACCGAAGAUGUUACAAGUAAGAAAUUUCUUGUCAGUCGUUUCAAUAAUUAUCAAAUGGUUGAUGGUCGUUCUGUUAUGGAACAAUUUCGUGAUAUUGAAAAGAUGCUGAAUCAAUUUAAGCAAUAUGAUAUGAAAAUGGAUGAAAUGAUUGUGGUAUCCUCCAUAAUAGACAAACUUCCUCCAUCUUGGAAAGACUUUAAAAGAAGUCUAAAACAUAAGAAAGAGGAAAUAUCUCUUGAGGCUUUGGCAAAUCAUCUUCGUAUUGAAGAAGAGUAUCAAAAACAAGAUCAGAACCUAAAUUCUAAAAAUGCCGAAGUACAUGUUAUGGAGGAAGUACAGACUACUAAACCAUUCAAGAGAAAGUUCAAUCAGACUGAUAGAGCACCUAAGUUCAAAAAGAAACAAAAGGGCUCAUGCUAUCAUUGUGGAAAGCCGGGACAUUUCAAGAAUGAAUGUCGAUUUUUAAAGAAGAAAUCAUCUUCUAAGGCUGAUAAUAACGAAAAGUUCGUUGCAAUGAUAUCUGAAAUUAAUAUGGCACAAGAUGAUAAUACAUGGUGGAUUGAUACCGGAGCAACCAAACAUGUGUGCAAAGACAAAAGCAUGUUCACAAAGUUCACACAAUGUGAAAAUGACAAUGUCUUGUACAUGGGAAAUUCUUCCACCGCAACAAUUAAAGGCAAAGGGUCUGUUGAACUACAAUUCACUUCUGGAAAGGUUUUAACCUUAAAUGAUGUAUAUUAUGUACCAAAAGUUAGGAAAAAUUUAGUGUCUGGAAGUCUGUUGAAUAAGUUUGGUUUCAAACUUGUUUUUGAGGCAGAUAAGUUUAUUUUGUCUAAGGGAGGAAUUUUUGUGGGAAAAUGGUAUAUGUAUGAAAGCAUGUUCAAACUUAAUAUUAUUAAUAAGAAUAAAAAUACUAUUUCUGCUUAUAUGGUUGAAUCAUUUUGUUUGUGGCAUUAUAGAUUAGGUCAUUUGAAUUAUAGAAAAUUGAAUGACAUGUAUAAAUUAGAUUUAAUUCCUGUUUUUAAUAAUAAUAUUGAAAAAUGCAAUACCUGUAUGUUGACUAAAAUUACAAGAAAUCAUUUCCCUAAGGUUAAAAGGAAAACAAAAUUGCUUGAUUUGAUACAUAGUGAUUUAUGUGACUUGCAUAAUACUCCUACAUUAGGUGGAAAGAAAUAUUUUGUUACUUUUAUUGAUGAUUGUUCUAGAUAUUGUUAUGUAUAUUUAUUGCAUUCAAAAGAUGAAGCGCUUGAUAAAUUUAAAGUUUAUAAAUCUGAAGUUGAACUUCAGUGUGAAUCAUUUAUCAAGUGCUUAAGAUCGGAUAGAGGUGGAGAAUACUAUAAUCCAAGUUAUUUUGAACUCACUAGAAUUGUCCAUCAAGUUUCAGCCCCUUACACACCACAACAAAAUGGUGUAGUUGAAAGGAAAAAUAGAGUCUUGAUUGAAAUGGUAAAUUCAAUGUUAUCAUAUUCAGGUCUUGGACAGGGUUUUUGGGGAGAAGCUGUUCUAACAGCUUGUCAUAUAUUGAAUAGAGUUCCUAAUAAAGAAACUAAAAUAACCCCCUAUGAACAAUGGAAGAAAAGGAAACCAAACUUUAAUUAUUUAAAGGUUUGGGGUUGUAGAGCUUGGGGUUGUAGAGCUAUUGUAAAAGUUCCAACACCUAAACGUAAAAAGUUAGGUGAAAGAGGAAUUGAAUGCAUAUUUAUAGGUUAUGCACAUAAUAGCAAGGCAUAUAGGUUCAUAGUAAUUGAACCAAAUGAUUCAAUUUCAAUUAAUACGGUUAUUGAAUCAAGAGAUGCUAUUUUUGAUGAAAAUAGAUUUAAUUCUAUAUCAAGACAAUUACAACCACAACAAUUGAUUCAUUCUUCAAAUGAGAAUGAGAUUCCAUUGAAACAAAUUGAUAAUAAUGAUGAAUCUUGUCAAGAAUUAAGAAGAAGUAAUAGGAUUAAAAAGGUCAAAGAUUUUGGACCAGAUUUCAUUAUGUUUCUUGUAGAAGGAAAAGGUGAAAGUAUAUGCAAUAAGAUACCUUAUUGUUAUAAUACCGAAUCUGAUCCUAUUACAUUUGAAGAAGCAGUGAAAUCUCAAGACUCUGCUUUUUGGAAAGAAGCAAUAAAUGAUGAAAUGGAUUCAAUAAUGGGAAAUCAAACUUGGAUCUUAGUUGAUCAUCCACCAGGUUCCAAACCAAUAGGUUGUAAAUGGAUCUUCAAAAAGAAAAUGAAGGUCGAUGGAACCAUUGAUAAAUUUAAAGCAAGGUUGGUAGCAAAAGGUUUUACACAAAGACAAGGUAUUGAUUCCUUUGAUACCUAUGCUCCAGUAGCAAGAAUUGCUACAAUUAGACUAUUAAUAUCACUUACCUCUAUAUAUAAUUUGGUUGUUCACCAAAUGGAUGUUAAAACUGCAUUUUUAAAUGGUGAAUUGGAAGAGGAAGUGUACAUGGAGCAACCGGAAGGAUUUGUUGUUCCAGGACAAGAGCAUAAGGUAUGUAAGCUUGUUAAAUCUUUAUAUGGGCUUAAACAAGCACCAAAACAAUGGCACCAAAAGUUUGACAAGGUUGUUUUAGCUAAUGGCUAUAAAAUAAAUGAAUCCGAUAAGUGCAUAUAUAGUAAAUUUGAUAAUGGAAAGGGUGUUAUAAUUUGCUUAUAUGUAGAUGACAUGCUCAUUUUUGGCACGGAUUUGGAAUAAAUAGAAAACACAAAGAAAUUCUUGUCAAACAACUUUGCUAUGAAGGAUAUGGGUGUAGCAGAUGUUAUUCUUGGGAUUAAAAUAACCCGAGAUGAAAGCACUAUAGCUUUAUCACAAUCACAUUACAUUGAAAAUGUGCUUAAAAAGUUUGAUCUUUUCAACUGUAUACCAGCAUCUACACCCAUGGAUCCUCAAUUAAAAUUAGUAUCUAAUGCUGGUAGGAAAAUUGAUCAAUUGAAAUAUGCAAGUCUAAUUGGUUGUCUUAUGUACAUAAUGACUUGUACAAGACCAGAUAUUGCAUAUGCUAUUGGAAAAUUGAGUAGAUACACAAGUAAUCCAAGUAGUUUGCAUUGUCAAGCUUUAAAUAGAGUACUUAGGUACUUAAAGAAAACUAUUAACUAUGGAUUGUGUUAUAAUGGAUAUCCUCCAGUUUUAGAAGGGUAUUCGGAUGCUAGUUGGAUUACAAGUUUGGAAGAUCAUGCAUCUACUAGUGGGUGGAUCUUCAUUCUUGGUGGAGGAGUCAUUUCUUGGGGUUCCAAGAAACAAACAUGUAUUACUGAUUCCACCAUGGCAGCAGAAUUUAUUGCAUUAGCCGCUGCAUCUAAAGAAGCAGAAUGGUUAAGAAAUUUGCUUUAUGAUGUACCUUUAUGGCUUAAGCCAAUUUCACCUAUUUCUAUCCGUUGUGAUAGUGAGGCUACUCUAGCAAAGGCAUAUAGCCAAGUAUAUAAUGGAAAGUCUAGACACAUUGGAUUAAGACAUAGUUAUGUCCGACAAUUAAUCUCUGAUGGAGUGAUCACUAUUAAUUAUGUGAGGUCAAGUGAAAAUUUGGCAGAUCCUUUGACAAAAAGUCUUGCUAGAGAUGCAGUAAAAAGGACCUCAAAAGGGAUGGGACUCAAGCCUAUUAAUUAGAGCCACCCAUUAUGGAAACUCGACUCAACGCUUGGUAUAACGUCAAGUCUUGAGUUCAAUGAGACAAAGUACAUCAUUAGUAUGUGACUGUUAGCACUAUAAAUAAAUCCAUCCUAAGAUUAAAGUGCUAGGUACCCGUAAUGAUAAGGGAAGGAUGAGUAAUGUACUCUUAAUGGACCCAUAACAUAAAUAUGUUAGAGUGUUAUAAUUACGGGAACACUUUUGAUGGGAUCUACCUAUGUGAGUGGAAGUGUGGCCGCUUCUAGGAGCUUAAGGGCUUGGCUCUGACAGCACUCAUGAAAAGAGGACAUAGACACAUGGCUAUAAUAGUGUCCCUAGAUACUAUGCAUUGACUGAUGUUGAAAUCAUUGUGUGAGAUAUGUUCAGUUAAUCAAAUGGAAUAGUUGGUUCAAAGCUUAGUCUACCAUACAAUUUCGAUUAACUUUAACAUGUUUUCACUAAGUGAAGGUUCAAUCGUAAGACACCUUUAUUUAUGCAAAUUGAUUUCCAAGAAUAUCAAAAUCUAAAUAUUUUGAAAAUGGGGGGAGAUUGUUGGAAUAUUUUCAAAUAUUUAUAGUAUCCCAAUAACUAUAAAUGAAUGGGUGUAAUUAAUCAAAAGAUAAAACUUUUGGUCAUUGGUCAAAAGUUAUAUCAUUUGAUUUUUUAAAAAAGAAUUAUAACUAUUCAAAAAAUAUUAUUUGAAUAGUUACAAAAUUAAAUGAAUAAUUAUUAUUAUUUAUUUAUUCAUAAAGACACCUAUUGAAAGAUGUCUCUAUGAAGAGACAUGAAAAUUCCUAUAAAUAGGAAUAGGAUUUCAUUUGGAAAUCAUAUCAACAAAUUCUAAUAUUAUUUCUUCUCUUCCUUCAUUUUCUAAUAUUAUUAUAUUAUUCUAUAAAGUAUUGCUGCAGAAAUCCUUUGUAGAAAUUGAGUUUUUGUUAUACAUUACUCAGUGCAUAGUGGACUAUUCUCGUCAGUGCAAAACACAAAUAGUCAUUGGCUUCAUUGUAUCCUCGAGGUUAAUUCGCUUGGAACUCGUUUGCACACUGAAGAUAAGUGGGGGCGAAUAUAACCUUAAAGAUAGUGGCUUGAUACACGCCUUGGAGCCUGUCCUAUUUCUUCUUUUUCUUUUCGAGUUCCGAUCGUGUGUUCAAGUUUUUUUCUUACCGGAGUUUUGUACUAACAGGUUUGACGGUCAUCUUGAAGCAUAUAUAAAAUUAAAUGAUUGAAUUAUUGAAAUCAUGAAAUAAAAUAAUUAUGAAAUCAGAAUUUAAGGUUAGAGGUUAUUUUUAGAAAUUUAACUUUUUAAUUAAUUAAUUUAGCACAAAUUUUAUACAAGUCAUGAACUUAAUUUCAUCAAAUUAUAUUAUCCAACUUUUACUGUUAAUAAAUUAAGCGGUAAAAAAAAACACAUGUCUUGAUAUAAAAUAUCAAAAUUGAUUAUAUUGAAGGUGGUACAAAUAAUUGCAAGAAAUUGUAAUUAUUAGGUAGUGAUUAUAACCUCUCAUAAUAAAUUUUGAAAAUAAUUAAUGUUAAUUAUUCACGUAAUUCUUCUAAUUUUCAAUUAUUUCCUUAAAAAUUAAAAAGUAACAAAAAUAUAUAUAUAAAUUAUAAUGGUUAAGAAAAUAUGUCAUAAAUAUGUAAUUAUAAGUAAUUACAUCAAAAUUUAAUUACUACUGCUUUCUAAACACCCCUAAAAUUUAAAUAUAAUCAUUUCUUUGUUUAAAUAUGCUAAAGAUUUCUAUACUCUUUUAAAAUUUAAAUUUUAGUCUCCAUGCUUUAAUUUUGAGACAUUGAGUUCUUAUAGUUUUUUAUUUAAAAAUCUUGGUUUCUCCAUCUAAUUUUGCCAUUAAAAUUAAUGGUGUCAACGGUAAAAUAAAUUUUUAACCCUCAACAUAUAUUGUGCAGAUCAUAGACUAAAUUGCUUUAUUAGUUUUCUAUUGUUAAUCUUAUUAUUAUUAUUAUUAUUAUUAUUAUUGUUAACACCACUUCCAUUUUAACAACACCAAUUUCUAACAAUUGCAGAAGAAUGUCUAGUCAUUCCACACAAAUUAACAACAAUUUGCAGCAUCCACUACAUUCAUAUGAAUUCCACACAAAUUAAGACUGCAAAUUCUAACUUGUUUAUACCCUCAAUGAAGUUACCUACUGCAGAUUUUGUAUUGCUUGGAAUGAAUUGACUGUCAUUUUCUACUACUUGCCACAAAAUUUUGUAUUGCUUUAAAUUCAAACAGGAAGAAGAAAACAUGAAAAGAUGAUGAGAUGAGCAUGAAGAUUGCUAUAAAUUUGAUCCACCAAUUAAUAAGCUAACUAAAGGAAAUAAGGACAUUUGAUCCACCAAUUAAUGUUUGAAUUCACUAUAGUACUAUGCUUUUUACUGUCAAAAUCUUGGAUGCAGAGAUUAUUGGGACUAAAAAAUGAGAGUCAUGAAAGAAGACAUAAAUAGUUGAACCAUACAAAAUGUUACAUUUAAAACAAACCCUUACAAAUACUACGUAAUGCAAUGAAAUAUAGAUGAAUUGUUACAAUAACAAAGACAGAUGCAUGGCAAUGCAACCUUUCACCAUAGGAAAAAAAUUGGACAGACUUCAAAACAAGAAAUUAUGAAGAUACUGUUGCGGAAGCGACGAUAAUAUUAAUAACAAUAUUAUCAGAAAUAUUUAGAUAAUUAUUAUGCCAACAAUUAUACUAAGAAAAUUCCCAGUUAAAUUGGAGGGGUCACAAAUGGUCCCGCUUAAAACCCAACAACUAGACAGAACUCACUUAGAUAUUUAUAGCAAUAAUAACUAAAUAAAUAUAACCAACAUAAAGCUAUUAAAUAUAAGCAAACAAAUAAGAAAUAAAAUACCAGAGAUUUAACGAGGUUCGGCCAAUUUAGCUUACGUCCUCGGACACUACCAAAUCAAUAUUUCUACUAGAAAUAUUACAAAGGAGAAGAUUUUUUGGGAUGAUACAACCAAAGGGGGAGGGGUUCUAUAUAUAACAAACCAAACCCCCUCCCUUUCUAUCUUUUCCUAAUGUGGGAUAUUGCCAAUAUUCAACAAAUCUCCACCUUGGCGAUAUUCCACAUCUUCGAACAUCUUCUCAUAACACUAACUUCAAUAGUGUCUUCAAAUUUGCAACCAAUCGCCUUCUUCCCUUUUGGUAGUUGUGCCAGCUUCCACGUCUUGUUUUUCUCUAGAGAUUGCAUUUCCUCUUCCAUUGCACCUAACCAUCUAUUAUUCUCUAAACUCUGAAUGGCUUUGGUGUAAGUGGAUGGAAUAUUAUCAACAACUGGAAGUGCAUAAGCUACCAUGUCAGUGAAACGAGCAGGUUUCUGAAUUUCUCGUCUCUGCCUUCUGACUGCAAUUGGCUCUGAUUGCUGUUGAGGUUCUUGGGUAGAAACCUCUUCCUCAUCUGACUCUGCAUCUGCCAAUGAAGAAUCACUAGUGGUACCUUCUGCUGGAAUUACCACACUCUGCUCAAACUCCACCUGCUGCGGAGUACACUCCACCUGCUGCGAAGUACUACUCACUCCUUCUGGAUUUACCUUAUUCAACAUGGCAGAUUCAUGAAAGGUAACAUCCCUACUGAUUAUCGUCUUCUUUGCCUCUAGACACCACAAACGAUAUCCCUUAACACCAGCAUUGAAGCCCAUGAAUAGAGCCUUCUUUGCUCUUGGAUCUAACUUUGAUUCUUUCACAUGAUAAUAUGCAAUAGAACCAAAAAUGCGCAAGGUGUCAUAAUCAGUAGCAGGUUUUCCAUACCAUUUUUCCAAAGGAGUCUUGCCAUUUAUAGCAGAUGAUGGCAAAUGAUUGAUGAGAUGUUGAGCGUACGUCACAGCCUCAGUCCAAAACUUUCUAUCUAAUCCAGCAUUAGAUAACAUACAUCGAACUUUCUCCACAAGCGUUCGAUUCAUUCGCUCUGCCACCCCAUUCUGUUGCGGUGUUCCACCUACGGUGAAGUGCCUUACUAUGCCACAAUCUUGGCAUAUCUUCAGGAAAGGAUCGCUUUUAUAUUCUCCACCGUUGUCUGAUCGGAGAACCUUAAUCUUCCUUCCUGUCUGAUUUUCAACUUUAGUUUUCCACUUAAGGAAAACUUCAAGCACCUCAUCUUUGUUCUUCAUAGGAAACACCCAAACUCGUCUGGAAAAAUCAUCAAUAAAGGUGACAAAAUAACGUCUUCCUCCAAGUGAUGGAGUCUUGGACGGUCCCCAUACAUCAGAAUGCACAUAAUCCAGAAUACCUUUAGUAUUGUGAAUCCCAGUGCCAAAUUUCACCCUUCGUUGUUUUCCCAGAACACAAUGCUCGCAAAAUUCAAGUUUGCAAGUCUUUGUACUUUUCAAUAAUCCUUGCUUGGCUAGAGUUUGCAAGGAUUUUUCACCAGCAUGGCCCAAACGCAUAUGCCACAGCUGUGUUGCCUCAGCGUCCUUCUUGGUACUCGAAAUUGCUGCUGCUGUUGUCCCGACCACUGUACUACCUUGGUAGUAAUACAGAUUGUUCUUUCUUAUGCCAUUCAACAUCACCAAUGCUCCUGAAGUUGCUUUAAGAACUCCAUCUCGUAUUGUCACAACUAGGCCUUUAGAUUCUAACGACCCCAAAGAGAUGAGAUUCUUCUUCAACUUUGGGACAUAUCGUACAUCCCGCAAAAUUCUAGUAGAUCCAUCAUGACUCCUCAGUUUAAUUGAACCUAUCCCGGCUAUUUUACAUGUGUUAUCAUUACCCAUGUAAACAACCCCUUCAUCUAGUUUUUGAAAUUCAAAGAACCAUUCCCGAAUGGGACACAUAUGAUAGGAACAACCAGAAUCCAUGAUCCACUCAUCUGCAUAUAAUGUUGAAGAUGUCAUACUAAGAGAAAAGUUUGACUCUGCUUCACUAUUGCAUUUUGCAACAUUUGCAUCUUGCGGAGUCUUCCCUUUUUUCUUCAAUUUUGGACAAUCUUUCUUCCAAUGUCCUUUUUCUUUGCAAAAGGAACAUUCAUCUUUGGCAACAGCUCGACCUUUGGACUUUCUUCUCUUCCCAUUAGACUGACUUUGCUGACGACCUCUUGUUACCAAUGCUUCCACUGCUGCUUCACCUGAACCUUUCAACUUAUCCUUUCGGCGUAAUUCAUAGCUAUACAAUGCAGCAGUUACUUCAUUGAAAGUUACUUCCGAUUUUCCAUGAAGUAGAGUAGUUUCAAGGUACUCAAACUCCUCAGGAAGCGAUCCCAACAACAUUAACGCCAAGUCUUCGUCUUCAAAAGUCACAUCCAAAUUCAACAAAUCAGCCACCAGCUGAUUAAAAUUGGUAAUGUGCUCGUUCAUCGUGGUACCAGGAACAUAAUUGAAACGAAACAGUCUUUUCAUCAUAUGCAACUUAUUUUGACUGUUCUUCUUCAAGAAUUUCUCCUCCAAUGCUUUCCACAAUUUACUUGCAGAAGUCUCUUUACUGAAUGUAUACUUCUGCUCUCUGGAAAGACAUGAUCGAAUUGUACCACAUGCCAAUCGGUUGAUGGUCUUCCAUUCUUUAUCAUCAACCCCUUCUGGUUUUUCUUCCUCAAUGGCAAUAUCUAGACCCUGUUGAAAGAGGGCAUCUAGAAGCUCACUUUGCCACAUGCCAAAAUGACCUGUUCCAUCAAAAAUUUCCACUACAAAUCUCGUAUUUGCAGUUCCAAUCCUCGGCAAAAUGUACGAAGUGGAAGUUGUUGAUAUGGAUGGUUUUUCUUCUGUCAUUUUUGCCAUAGCUUCUACUUAAUAGCCACCAAAUGCAGAAUACCCACAAGCUUUAGGAAAUGUUUCUGAUGUGUAAGAUCAGACUAAGCUGCAAACACAGAGCAUACUACAAAACCUUGGCUCUGAUACCAAUUGUUGCGGAAGCGACAAUAAUAUUAAUAACAAUAUUAUCAGAAAUAUUUAGAUAAUUAUUAUGCCAACAAUUAUACUAAGAAAAUUCCCAGUUAAAUUGGAGGGGUCACAAAUGGUCCCGCUUAAAACCCAACAACUAGACAGAACUCACUUAGAUAUUUAUAGCAAUAAUAACUAAAUAAAUAUAACCAACAUAAAGCUAUUAAAUAUAAGCAAACAAAUAAGAAAUAAAAUACCAGAGAUUUAACGAGGUUCGGCCAAUUUAGCUUACGUCCUCGGACACUACCAAAUUAAUAUUUCUUCUAGAAUAUUACAAAGGAGAAGAUUUUGGGAUGAUACAACCAAAGGGGGAGGGGUUCUAUAUAUAAAUAUCUAAGUGAGUUUUGUCUAGUUGUUGGGUUUUAAGCGGGACCAUUUGUGACCCCUCUAAUUUAACUGGGAAUUUUCUUAGUAUAAUUGUUGGCAUAAUAAUUAUCUAAAUAUUUCUGAUAAUAUUGUUAUUAAUAUUAUCGUCGCUUCCGCAACAAUUGGUAUCAGAGCCAAGGUUUUGUAGUAUGCUCUGUGUUUGCAGCUUAGUCUGAUCUUACACAUCAGAAACAUUUCUUAAAGCUUGUGGGUAUUCUGCAUUUGGUGGCUAUUAAGUAGAAGCUAUGGCAAAAAUGACAGAAGAAAAACCAUCCAUAUCAACAACUUCCACUUCGUACAUUUUGCCGAGGAUUGGAACUGCAAAUACGAGAUUUGUAGUGGAAAUUUUUGAUAUGGAUGGUUUUUCUUCUGUCAUUUUUGCCAUAGCUUCUACUUAAUAGCCACCAAAUGCAGAAUACCCACAAGCUUUAGGAAAUGUUUCUGAUGUGUAAGAUCAGACUAAGCUGCAAACACAGAGCAUACUACAAAACCUUGGCUCUGAUACCAAUUGUUGCGGAAGCGACGAUAAUAUUAAUAACAAUAUUAUCAGAAAUAUUUAGAUAAUUAUUAUGCCAACAAUUAUACUAAGAAAAUUCCCAGUUAAAUUGGAGGGGUCACAAAUGGUCCCGCUUAAAACCCAACAACUAGACAGAACUCACUUAGAUAUUUAUAGCAAUAAUAACUAAAUAAAUAUAACCAACAUAAAGCUAUUAAAUAUAAGCAAACAAAUAAGAAAUAAAAUACCAGAGAUUUAACGAGGUUCGGCCAAUUUAGCUUACGUCCUCGGACACUACCAAAUCAAUAUUUCUACUAGAAAUAUUACAAAGGAGAAGAUUUUUUGGGAUGAUACAACCAAAGGGGGAGGGGUUCUAUAUAUAACAAACCAAACCCCCUCCCUUUCUAUCUUUUCCUAAUGUGGGAUAUUGCCAAUAUUCAACAGAUACAACGUACACACUUGAACAUCAUUUCCACUAACUAGAUCCUUCUUCGUCCAUUGCUGCGACUGCCAUCCUUUCACUUUCUUCUUCGCUUCUUCUCAUGUUGGAUUUCAACCAAAUUCACCAACCAUUUCGGCUUACCAAUUUGGAAAACAACAUAUCCCACGACCAUUCCAAACACUACUCCGCAUCCAUAACCUAUCAACACCAAUUUCCAACCAAAAGAGAUGUUUGAUUUUGAACCAUCAUGCAUCAUUUACUUUGCAAACAAUUUCACAAGUAACCAAUCAUCAUCUUUAUUCAGUCCUACGUAUCAGUUGUAGUAGUUCAACCACUUCUUAUCAUUAAAACAUGCCAUACAUACACUAAGGGUAUUAAAAACAUCAAUCAAACCUAGAAAUAGGCCCAGUUGCAAAAUUUCUAAAACUGUUACAUAGGUAUUGAUACUGUCCUAGGGCUAUCCAUAUUUUUUUUAAGUGGUAUUGAUAUCACAUGGAAAAUCAAUACUAAACUAGCAUUCUAUCUCUCACCAAAUAUCAAAACAUAAAAAAUUAUUGGUACCUUUCGCAAGGUAUCAAUAAACUUACCCGAAGUAUUGAUUCCUGGGCUGAAGUAUCGAUACCAAAUACAUAUUUUGUUUCCCUGUACCUUCGAAAAUGCAAAGAUACCCUUUUUAGAAAAUAAAAUAUCGAUACCUCCACUACAGGCUAUAAAAUCUUAGCAUACUCCAACAUUAAAACCAUUCAAACUUAAUCCCAAACAACAUGCUUCAUUCACAUAGUUAAAGAACAGUGUAAUCGAAUGUUAAAUAUGUUACUCUGCAAUGCCGUUGUAAAUAUGACUGUUAAAUUUGUUGAUAGCUAUACUGGUUUGGCACAAAAUUAAGAAUACACAGGCAGGUUGAACUAUUCCAUGUAUGAACCUUUGCAACAUAAAUGCAGAUGGCACAAAGACGCAAACCAUACCUUAUGUUCUUGAAUUCUCAUCAUCACAUGCUUAUAAAUGCAACUCAAGCUUACCUAAUUGAAUCUUUUGGUAAUUCAAAAUGUAUUUUUUUUUGUAGUGAGCAGUACAAGGACAUUAGAUCCACCAAUUUCUGUUUGAAUUCAUUACGUCAUUCAGCUCUGCUAUGUACUAUUAUUUCCAAAAAUCUUGAAAGGAGACAUCCUCCAAUUUAAAGACAAGAAAUGAGAAAGAAUGGCAGUGAAUAAAUAAGGAAAAACCAUGUAUAUUCAGAACCACAAUAAAACAAAUAUUUUAUAUGUAUUUUCUCAAUCGUAUUAGUGAAAUGCUAUAAAUUUUGUAACAAUUUUUUACUAAAUAUAAAAUAUUAAAAUUAAUACAUAUGGUGAUAUUGGAUAUACAGAGAAGACCCAAGCAUGAAGUUUGAGCGGGUCCUUGUACUCUGCAAUCUUGUGGUAAAUCCUUGAACUACAUUUAUGAAUACUAAAAUAUUAAUUACCUCACUAAUUGAUGAAUCCUGAAAGUGCUCUUACGUUUUCUUAUAAAAGAACAAAGAUUACCUUGAAUAUUUGAAUUCAUUACAUCAUUGAGCUCUGCCAUGUUUUAUUACUAUGACCAUAUAACUUCAUCCUUUAAGCUUGUACAGCUAAUUGUCGAUUCACUUCACAUGCUCUUUUAUCCUUUCAUGGUCGGUCCAACUUAAUCUACAAGCAAUGAGGAAAUUCGGGGACAAUUACAGCACAAUUCCGCACAAAAUAACAACAAUUUGUAGUAUUGAUUACGUUGACUUGAGAAAUAGAGAGGAAAAAAAAACAUGCUUGUCUGUACCGUCAAUGAAGCUACCAUAUGAAUGCAUUCCAUGAAGCAUAAGCAAACAUAUGUACGAGUACCCAAUUUAAGUUCAACUUUAAGAUAGAUUAAUUAGUUUAUAUGUAGCAAUUUUACAGCUGAAAAUUUUCUGAACAUUAGAAUUGUCCAACAUAUCUACAAUGCUAUUUGUACAUUUUUUUAUCAGUAACUACUGCUAAAAUAAUUUCCUGUAAGGCGAGAUUACGGUUAAUUUAAAUUAGCUUAAGUUCGAUUUCUCAACAUGAAAAAAACAUAACAAAAUCCCUCUUAUAACGUGCCCUUCGCACAUUGAAGUAUUGACUAUGCUUAGUGGAAUAAUGUAGAGAUACAACCCCCAAUUGCAUCUUCAUUAAAGCCUACUUAUAGGAAAAUAGGGACAUGGGAUCCACCAAUUGUACCUUAGCUGCUGCCCUUAUUUCACGUCAAUGCAAGACUAUUGUUGUCAGACAAACUUAAUCAACAAACCGUGAGAAAAUUUCCGGUCGACAUUUACACCACAAUAUACAAUAAUAAAAAUUUUGCUCAUAAUGUUUACGCAAUUUGAUCAUAAUUCCAAAAAUUUAUAUAUUCUUUUAAUUUGAUGUAAUUCUAAAAAUUAUAAUAAAAAUGAAGUUCGAGCUAAGAAAAGCUCUUCUAAUAAGGUUCAAGUGACAAGGGGGAGUGCCCACUACUUUGGACACUACCCAUCACGGGAGGGUGAAAAUAAGAUUCACAGUUACUAGAGAGAUUGAAUCCCUUGCAGGAUCCAAGAAAUAUAAAGGCAAGGUUCUUGUUGUAGUAAAAUCUAGCAAGAAAAGAAAGAUUUUGUUGGACGAUUCCUCGCUUCUGAGACAAGUUCGAAUUCAUCAUCCAAGAGCGCACCUCUUUGUGUCAUGCUACAGCCUUAAACAAAGCAUCCUAAUGUUCUUGUUCUGCUGCAAAAAAGAACAAAAGGAUGAAACAAGUUGGGGUGCCAAAAUUUUUUUCUGAUGCAACUACAUCAACAAGAAAGCAGGAAGAAAGAAUCCUGGACUAGAAAAAGAAACUUUUCCUGGAUCCGGACUGCUCCAAUUCCAUAUCUUGUCCUUUCAUAACAAUUCCAAUGGAAUAGAUAUAGAAGGCACUACCUCUAUGGCCAUACACCCCCAUGUACGACACUGUACUACCGAUCUUCUCUAGAUUUAUGAUAGCCUUGAAGCUGUUGAUGUAUCUCACUGGUAGGGGUCCAGAAAAAUAAUUACUUGAGAGGUCAAAAUUUUGGAUUUUAGAGAAAAAAAGGGAUAGACUUGGAGCUAUGGUCAUGCAAGGAACCAUGCAUUUGAUUUAACUUUAGUACAAGAACUUAUAGCUGUGGAAGUGAUACAUGAUGGGAUGAAAUUUAUUAAAUUUCAAUCACCAACGCUGUCAAUUUUCAAGCUUGAGAAAUCAGCAGACUUGCGACGACUUGUUGUGUGGUAUCCUGGAAUUUUUGGGUUGAGAUUUCAAUGAAGUUGGAAGAUCUGUCUCUUAGCUUCGAAACGUAUUUUGAAUCACUCAAUUUUGAGUUCGGGAGCUCAAGUUAUGACCAUUUUAGUGAAGGCUGCGCAAGCAGAAUUUUUGAACGGGAUUAUGACGGGAAUUACAAAUUUCGGGCUUUUAAUUCGAGUUUAAAUCAUAUUUGGUUCGGUUGUAGGUUUAAUUUUUAUUAUAUAUGAGACCAAUAUUGUAUUAAUCAGCUCUUAUUAUUCUAUUAUUAGUUUGUUCUAAAUUUUUUUAUAAUUAUUAAGUAUUUUAAGUUAUUUAGGAGUUUUAUGUUAACAAGAAAGUUUAAUUUAAAACUAUUUUUUGUUUAGAUUAAAUUAGAGUUCUAGUAUACUUAAAAAUUUUAUUUAGAUUUAUUUAGCUAGACUAUAUAUAGGCCUUUUCAUUGUACACAAUUCAUUAUUAUUCUAUUUCUCUUAGAGUUAAUAAAUUCUCUCUAGAUUUUUCUUUUCAAGAAUUUCUCUUAAGUUUCUUUUAGAAGAGUUUUAACAAUCUUUUUAGAUUGUGGAGAUCAUCUUCAAACUUUUUUUUACCAAGAUUUCUAUCCUGGAGGGGAAAUUAGAGUUGUUUGAAAUGGGUUAUAGAUUCUUUGUGUUUGCAAGGCUUCUUAAGACUACAUGUCACGUUCUAUCUUUUUAUUUAUCUUGGAAGAGAAAUUAGAACUGCUUGAAGGGGGUUUUGGAUUCUUCGUGUUUCUAAAGCUUCUUAGGACUUCUAUACGUCACAUUCUAUCUUUCUAUUUAUUUUCUUUAUUCAUUUCCUUAUUGUUCUAAUAUUUGAUUUAUUUUUUUAUUCUAGUUAUUUAUUUUAAUUGUUUUAUCUGAUUUCGAUUUGAUUUCGUUUUAGGUUGUGUCAAAAUCUAAAUUUCUUUCCAAACGUGUAGAGCCCUAAGUCAAAUCCACGACUUUGACAAACUUUACGAUCCUCUUCUGUGUUCAUCCGUCUCAUUUUUUAUCAGGAAGACUUCCCAGCCAAUGAGGAAAUGUACCAUUGAUCUUGUUGUUACCAAGAUCUAGCUUAGCACUUUCAGUCCUUUACAAUUAAGGAUGGUGUCAAAGGCCCUUCUAACAGAUUUCCAUUUAAGUUGAAAUUACUCAAUUGGAAUCCCUUUGCAAAUGUUAGAGGAAUCGUCCCAUAAAACUUGUUCUUCUUCAGAUUCAUGAAUUCAAGGAUGUUGCUCAAAUCUCCAAAACAUUGCGAAAUUGUUCCACUCAAAUUAUUGUGGGACAAAUCAAGAAUUCGAAGAGAACUGGCAUUGCAUAUUAAAGAAGAGACCUCUCCAUUGAAACUAUUAUUUCAGAUCAGAAAGACUCCGAUCGUCGAAGCUGGAAUCAAAAGAUUUCCACUGAUCAAAUUGGAGCUUAAGUCAAGAAAUGCAAUAUUCUUCCAUUGAGUAGAUUGUCAAUUAAGAUUAAAGAUAUUAGAUUAGGAAAAGCAGCUACUUCAUCUGGAAUUGAACUUUCUAAUGAAUUUCUAGCUAUUUCCAAGUAUUCAAGUUGCGUUAGGUUUAAAAUUGACAAUGAAAUUUGUCCACUCAAUUCGUUCGAUGACAAGUCUAAAAAAUUCAAGGACACAAGAUUCCCCAUCGAGUCAGGCAAUAUCCUCCGCAAAUAUUUGCUUCUGAAAUAAUCAAGAACUCUAACGAUGAUAAAUUUGUGAUUGAGACAGAGAAUCUUUGAAAGAGAAUUACCUGAUAGAUCUAAGUACUUUAAGGCCUGUAGAUUAUCAACUGAAUUAAUGAAUUCGGUGGAGAAGGACAUCCACGACAGACCCAAAUGUUCAAGAUUGCUGCUCCGAUUGAACUUCAAAAGAUCAAGAUUCAGGUUUUGGUUGCCUCCCAAGUUGAGGAAAUUUAGGUUUGGCAAAUCAAAAAUGUUUUUUUGGGAAUUUUCCUUGCAAAUCACAACCAGAAAGACUGAGAGACCUUAGAGAAGAGGAUAGAUUCGUGAAGACAUGAGGAUUAAUAGAAGACAUGUUGAUUUCAUCCAAAAACAGAUGUCUGACCUCGGUCAGGUUGUGAACAAGUCCCUCGACAGCAUGUUUGUCAAUUGUUUGUCCAUCAGCCUAAUAGGAGAGAUUAAGUGAAACCAAUUUUGAUAGGUGGGAGACUUGGGAUGGGAUUUGUCCUACAAAACUUGUAUGAGAAAGGUUGAGAUAUACUAGGCUUGUAAAAAAAUUUAAAAUUUAAUCGGUUAGCAUUAAAUAUGUCAUUUUCUAUUAACUGCAAGAAAACUAUCCGGUAAACUGCAUCUUCCUCUUUAGAUGAAAUUUUGUAAAAAAAAAAAAAAUUGACAUUAUCACUUAUAUGGUCCUUCAAUUUUUUUUUUAAAAAGUCAUUUUAACUCUCUAUUUAAUUUUUCGCGUCUUUGAGCUUUUAAAUUUGCGUUAUUUAUCAAAUCAUCCCAAAAUGGAUGAAAAAGUUAACAUUUGUUAAUUCUAUUGACGAGACAUACAUAUCGAUAUCAAAUAAACAAUUAAUUGAUUUUUAAAUUUUAAAAAUUUUAAAAAUAAAACAUAUAUUAAAGUUUUCUAAGAAAUGAGGAAAUUGGAACCAUGUACAGAAGAAUGUCCAAUAAUAUAAACACAACAUUUUAGUUAUUUUCUACUGUCCAAUAAUGCCAUGUGUAUUAGUACAAACAUUCAUUAAACCUAAUUUAAUUUUAGCCAUUAAUUUAAUUUUUCAUCUUUAUUAGCCCUUAAACCUACAUUAUUUAUCAAAUAACCCUUAAACUUAUAUUGUUUAUCAGAUGAAAAAAUUAAUAUCUAUUAACUUUGCUAACGUGCAUACAUAUGCAACUUCUUAUUUAAAUCUAAAAAAUCUAAAAAUAAUUAAAUAUGUAUAAAUCUAAAAAUAUCUUAAAAUUAAAACUAAUUUUUUUUAAACUAAUGCAAAUUUUUAGUAUUUAAAAAAUCUUAAAAUUUUCAAAUUAAAUUCCAUUAGUUUUCCACCGUUGAAGAACACCUUCAAUCACAUCAACAAUUUCAUGCUGUUUUGCCUAGAAAUUGUUUUGCAAAUUUAUUUUGUUUUAUUUAUUUCUAAACCCAUAUUUCUUUGCUAUAACUCCAAUUAUUAGAUUGUUUAGGGUUUUGAGUAACUUUCGGUUUUAAAAUUUUAGAUUUUUUAAAUUUAAAUACGAAGUGCUCUUCUUCUUCUCCAAACCCACAAUUUUUUUCUGCCAAAUUUCAACUCAAGGUUUUACUUUCAACUAUAAAUAAAACAUAUAUUAUAUUUAUAAUAAUCUAAGAAGUGAAAUAAUUAGAAUUGACUUGGUCUUGCUUCCUUUAUAUGUAUGAAUGUGGAAAUUGGCAUAAUGCCAACUUAUUUUCCACGCAGAAGAAGAAAAUGGUGCUCUAUUCACUCCCUUUCCUAGCAAACAAGGCCACAUAUGACUUAGAUAGAUAUAUAUAUAUAUAUAUAUGGUCCCUAAGUGUGUAUAUAUUAAUAUAUUUUCAAGUAAACAAACUUAUGCCUUAAAAGUUGAAUAAUAGCAUCUAAGAAACAAAUUUUCCACCAGACUGGAAAUUUUGUAUUGCUUGGAAUGAAUUGACUCUCAUUUUCUAUUACUUGCUAGAAAUAGGGGAAAUUUCACAUCAAUGCAUUCACUUCACUAGGUCUUGCUUCCUAUCACUGUCAACCAAACUUGAUCGACUAGCAGUAAGGAAAUUUCAGUCAUUUGCAGCAUAAGAAUUCCACACCCUCAAAAUAAUUUGCAAUUUCAAAAAUAGAUUAAUAAGUGUGGUUCAAAUACCAAGACUAUAAUAUCUAUUCACUUCACUUGGUCUUUAUUACUCACACAGAAUGUAUCAUCAUCAUCAUUAUAUUACUCUUUUAUUGUUAUUUUUAUUUUUUUCUUGUUACUUUUAUUUGUUAUUAUUAUUAUUUUUUUAUACUUUCAUGUUUUCUUUUUCAUAUAUUCCACCUUUUAUUUGUUUAUUUCAUUCUUUUACCUAAUUAAUAUUAGAUUUUAUUAGUUGGUGCCAUUACUUAUUUGUUGUUUUUGAUAUAUCAUCGCUUCGUUAAUAUGCACCAUCAUUUUAUUAUUGUUGCAAUUACGUCACGAGCCGUUUUAAAUGUAUUCAUGCUUUUCUAUUAUGCCCCGAAUAAAUUAAAUAUCUACCAUUUUAAAUAUUACAUUAACUUUUAUGCGAUACAUAAAAAAAGAAUUUUUUUUUACCAAGGCAAAUGUUUGUUAUUUCAAAUUUAGAAAAAUCAUGUUCUAACUUACGGAAUAUGGUUGCCUUCUAAAAUUGAGAUAAUUGAAUAUAUUUUAAAAUAAACAAAAAUUUGUUUUUUUUUUUUUUACAUUUGUUCUCAUUUUCGGGAUUUAAGGCAUGGUGUCCUAACUUACGGAACGUGAUCCUUUUUCCCGAUUAAUUUAAAAUAAAUCUAUUUUUGUGAAAACAAAAUUUAAGUAAUAUUGAAACGAAGGACCGUAUUUUAAAAUCUCUUCAAAUUCUCAAUUUUUGACACUAAGACAUUAAUUAAUUAAUCAAUUAGGUACUAAUUUUGGGCGUUACGAGGGUGCUAAUAUUUCCUCGUACGUAACCGACUCUCGAACUUAUUUCCUGGAUUUUUGUAGACCAAAAAUUGUUGUUUUAGUAAAUCAAAUCUUUUAUUAAAACGAUUAAAUUACAAGGUGAUCCGAUCACACUAAUAAAAAGGAUUGGUGACGACUCCCAUUUUCGUUUUCAAAAUAAAAGUCGACCCUUUUCAAAAAUAGUUUCGACAAUGUGUAACAAGUAUUUUUAUUAAUCCAUUUGGAACAAGAUUUUGUUUCCUAAUGUUAAGAUUUGCUGGAGCAAAUAAAUUGAUUAAUGCUUUGAACUUUCCCAAACACUUUUUAUCAUUUUGUAUAAUUAGUAUAUUUGAAUAUAUUAGAUACAUCGUCUAAAACAAUGUCAAUAGUAAUUUUUUUAUAUUUUGUGGACCACAAGGGUACCAUAUAAAUAAUUUUAAAAAAAAGAUGGAGUGAUACAUUUACGUAGUGCUUAUGAAUAUAAUGUUGGAUUAAAAUCCUUAAUUAUGAGUACAUAUGUAUAAUGUUUGAUAUUACAAUUAUCUUAAUAAUUUUGUUUCUGUUUUUGUUGAUUGAUGAUUAUAAAAAUCAUUAUUUUUCUGAAGGCAUGCUUUGUUGUCAAUGACAGUACCUGCACCCUAAAAUAAUCACCAGCUUUAACAACUGCAAGAGUUGUCCUGCCUGACAUUUACUAAAAAAUCACCAGGGAGCACAUUGUCAGGAGAUCCUUGCUGGAAAAAACUUGGUAGGAUGGUUUUUUUGUGCAAACUUAGGAUUUCAAUUCUCAUCAAGGAACUUGCAAGCCAAUUAUUGUAGAAAUGUUUGUCCAAAUGAUAAACAUUUGGAAUCCUAACCACAGGGACUUUUGCAAGCCUAUUAAUUAGCUCCAGGAACUUUAGAUUCUACCUGUUCAAAACAUUUUUUCAAAGAAGGAAGCAUAGGUGAAAGGCGUCUAUUCUGGUUCAUCUCAUUGAAUACAUCAAAUGGAGGAUCAAUACGCUGAAAAAGGGACAAUGGAAAGAACUUUAGCCUACAACUUGAAUUUUAUAACUACUCCUAUGCCAACCAGCAAACCAUAACAGCAUACAUAAAAAAGAGGAUGCUGACUUACAGUUCCUUUCAUUUCACCAAAACCAAUCAAAUCCCUUGCAAUGUUGUUUGGAUCACAACAGCUCAUCUUUCAAUCCUAGAUGGCUCCGCCAAUUUUUUGAAAGCAUACAUGAACUGUUCAAGAAAUAAAUGGAUAAAACAACUACAGGAUAGAAGGCUAAAAAAUUACAAAGAGCAAUGACCUUAUUGUUAAAAUUCCAACGUCCAUUCCUUGGAAAGAUAUCUUCACCAUUGCCCACUCAAGAGAACUCAAAUAGCAGCAAGAUCUCGUAUAAAAUGUAACUCUCAACAACACACACAAAUGUUUGUUCUAUCAAGGAACAAUACACAGACAUAUUCACCUACCCUUGGUGCUGGCAGAAUAUGCCCAUUCACUUUGGUGAAAUUAGAGUUGAUAAUAACCCCACAAGAUUUCUGCACCAUAAUUACUGCGAAGUAAACCUGCACAUAAAUUUUCAUUCUUCACUAGAUACAUAUUGGAAAUUGGCCAACCAUGCUGCUGUUACAUUUUGUGGUUGAAGUGCAUGCAGCUUGAUGACAUGCUGGAGCACAUAUGGUUGCUGUAACAGCAAGGUUUCUCUUUAGUUUCUUUGUUGAUUAAACUAGUUGAAAAUGAACAAGUUGAUGACAACUUGAUGCAUUAGGUGUUGAAUGACUAGUUUAGGUGGCUUGUUUAUGUGUACAAGCAAUGUUUUAAUAGUCCCAAUGCUGAUUAGUGGGGUUAGUUGACUAUUUGAUGAUGUAUUUGACUAUAAAUGUAUGUUUUUUCUAGUUGAAUGAAUGAGCUGAAUAGGCUAUCAGCCAUAAGCUCCCUUGCUGCACAUUUGUGAGCAAGUAAAAAUACUUCUUGCACCUUGCUUCAUUGUUAUGCUCUCUGUUCUCUUCUUUUGCUGCUGCCAAAUGUUCCAACAAUACAGAAUCUAUUUUUGUAAGUAAAAAUUAGUUGUAUUCAUUGUUCACAUAAUUGAUCUUUUGUUGUGGAAGUAUUGUAUUUCCGGUAAUCCAUUAAGUAUUCAGUGUUUGAUAUAAUAGAUUUGCAUUUUAUUAUUGUAUUUUGUGAAAGGAUCCUUUAUCUAUUUUUUGUAACCUAUUUUGUUUUUUGCAUUUCUGAUUAGUUUACAUGAUGGCAUACUCAAUGAUCUCUUAAGUUAGUUAUGUUAGGCUCUUUAACCAUUGUUGUAGCUCACCGUACGUACUCCAUGCCCCCUUAUCCAUAUCUAGCUACUGACUAGUACACAACUAUCAUUGUUCUCACAUCACAUGUGGAUUGGUGGAUUUCUGAUAAUGGGUGUUGUUGCGCAUGCAGCCAUUUUUAUGGUAAGAGACAAUGAUUCAACUACUCUAUACAAUGAUUUAUUAGAUCGUGAUGUAAUCAUAUCACAUCUCAAUUGGGCAUUUAUAUUUCUUGACUUUGUAUAUUCAUAAUGAUACCAUGAUAGCCUUUUCCCCUCUUUUUUUUUGUUUUUUUUUUUUAUCUCUAGUCUCAAUUUUGGGCGUGACACAAUGAAAUUAGAAACUAAAUCUAUUUUUGUAAGUAAAAAUUAGUUUUAUUCAUUCUUCACAUAAUUGAUCCGGUAAUCCAUUCAGUGUUUGGUACAAUAGAUUUGCAUUAUAUAUAGGUUUGCCAAUGAGAUGGCAAGCAGACUGCUAGCUAGAAAUUCUUGCAUCUUUGAAUCACCAAUUCAAUUAAUAAGCUUAACUAAAGGAAAUAAGGACUUUACAUCCACCAAUUUUAGCAACCUAUAUGUACCCUUUUACAGUCUGCAUUGUUCCAUGUUUCAAUUCAUUCCAUCAUUCCUUCAACUCUGCUAUAUAUUAUUACCAUCUCCAGACAACCAAUCCUUUUACUGCUAACUUGUAAAGAAAUUAAGAAAAUACAGCAGAGAUCAUUGACACAUUUUGUUCUCCUUUCUCCUUUACUGAGCAGUAGCAAAGAUUGUCGAGACUAAAUUGAAAGUCAUGAAAGAAGACAUAAACAACACCACCAUACAAAAUGUUACACUCAAACAAACCGUUACAGAUAGUACGAAAUGCAAUGAAAGAGGAAUUGGUACAAUAAUAAAGACAGACACAUACCAAUGCAACCCUUCACCAUAGGCAAAACGGUCUACAGAACAAUAAAUUAUGAAAAUACAACACUAAUUCUUCAACAUCCUUUGCAGUAAUUAGAUCCUUUUUCGUCUAUAGCUUCAAUUGCCUUUCUUUGACUUUCUUCUUCGCCUCCUCUCUUGUUGGUUUUCAACCAAACUCACCAACCAUUUCGGCUUACCAGUUUGGAAAACAACAUAUCCCACGGACAUUCCGAACACCACUCCGCAUCCAUAACCUAUCAACACCACUUUCCAACCAAAAGCAAUGUUUGAUGUUGAGCCAUCUUUUUCAAGCACAUUUGGAGGUGCUGGCUCAAUGAUGUUGCAACCUUUCGAGACCGGAAACCCACAUAGUCCCUUAUUCCCUUCAUAUGAAUCAAUUCCAAAUGUGUUGAAUUGUUUUCCUUGAGGAAUCUGACCAUGGAGUUGAUUUUCAGAAACAUUGAAGGACGAAAGAAAUGGCAGAUCUGCCAAUCUAUUUGGAAUCGUCCCAGACAACCUGUUUGAAGAUAGGUCCAACCAUUCAAGACUUGUCAAAUUCCCUAUUGAGGUGGGGAUACCACCAUUAAGGUUAUUAUGGGAAAGGUUGAGCCCCUUUAGUAAGUUAAGCUUCCCAAUAACUUUUGGAAUCUCUCCUUCAAACUGAUUGUUUGAUAGAUCUAUGAUCAUCCACAUGGUGAAAAUUUUCACCAAUUCCCUAUCUUGUCCUUUCAUAACAAUUUCAAUGGAAUAGGUAUAAAAGUCACUACCUGUCGAAUCAUACACCCCCAUGUACGACAAUUUACUCCCAAUCUUCUCUAGAUUUAUGAUACCCUUGAAGCUGUUGAUGUAUCUCUCUGGUAGGGGUCCAGAAAAAUAAUUACUUGAGAGAUCAAAGAUUUGGAUUUUAGAGAAAAAAGGGCUAGACUUGGAGCUAUUGACACAUAAGGAACCAUGCAAAUGAUUUGACUUCAAUACAAGAACUUGCAAAUAUGGAAGACUUCCCAACCAAUGAGGAAAUGUAUCAUUGAUCUUGUUGUUACCAAGAUCUAGCACUUCCAGACCAUUACAAUUAAGGAUGGAUGGUGUCAAAGGCCCUUCUAACAGAUUUCCAUUUAAGUUGAAAUUACUCAAUUGGCAUCCCUCUGCAAAUGUUGGAGGAAUCGUCCCAUAGAACUUGUUCUUCUUCAGAUUCAAGAAUUUAAGGCUGUUGCUCAGAUUUCCAAAACAUUGCGGAAUUGUUCCACUCAAGUAAUUGUGGGACAAAUCAAGAAUUUGAAGAGCACUGGCAUUGCAUAUUAAAGAAGAGACCUCUCCAUUGAAACUAUUAUUUGAGAUCAGAAAGACAUUGAUCGUCGAUGCUGGAAUCGGAAGAUUUCCACUGAUCAAAUUGGAGCUUAAGUCAAGAAAUUCAAUAUUCUUCCAUGGAAAGUGCUCAACUUCUGUCAAAGAGUUGUGAGAUACGUUUAAGUAAGUCAAAGAGUCAUUCCCCACCUCUUGCAUCCACUGUGGAAUCUUGCCUUCAAUUUUGUUGCAAGAGAGGUCUAAGCUUUCCAAACUUUUAAGCCCUUUCAAAAAUUGGGGGAAUUCACUAAAAUUGCAAGAUGACAAAUGUAAGUCUGUAAGAUUAGGCAAUAUAUGAUUAACACUAGAAGUAGAAUUAGAUGUUAAGGAUAUGCGGAUAUAUGAAAGGUCAAGAUAUUCGAGAUUUGGAAGGCUUGAGAACAUGCGAAACUCUAUAACACCACUAAGAUUAUUUGAGGAUAAAACGAGGUGGGUAAGAUUGAGAACUUGGAAUAUUGAAGAUGGAAAAGGACCUUGGAGUUUAUUAUUGUUUAGAUAUAAAUGUUCUAGUGAUUUGGAUUGGAAUUCUUUGAUAUGCCCACUGAAUUGAUUUUGAGAGAGAAUUAUAACCUUUAAGGAGGGAGCAGUAUACAACCAUGACGGAAGUGUUCCAUUGAGUAAAUUGUCAGAUAAGCCUAAAUAUAUUAGAUUAGGAAAAGUGGUUACCUCAUCUGGAAUGGAUCCUUCUAAAGAAUUUUCAGAUAUUCCCAAGUAUUCCAGCUGGGUUAGGUUUAGAAUUGACAAUGGAAUUUGUCCACUCAAUUGGUUCCACGCCAACUCUAAAUAAGUGAGUUGCAAGAGGUUUCCCAGUGAUCUUGGAACCGUUCCUGAUAAGUUGGAAUUGGAGAGAUCUAAAAACUUCAAGGACACAAGAUUCCCCAUCGAAUCGGGCAAUCCUCCAAAAAUAUUUGCGCCUCUAAUAAUCAAGUACUCCAAAGAUGAUAAAUUUGUGAUUGAGACAGACAAUCCUUGAAAGAAAGAAUUUCCUGAUAGAUCUAAGUACUUUAAGGCCUGUAGAUUAUCAACUGAAUCAAUUAAUUCUGUAGAGAAGGACAUGGACGACAGAUCCAAAUGUUCAAGAUUGCUGCUCCGAUUGAACUUCAAGGGAUUAAGAUUGAGGUUUUGAUUGCCUCCCAAGUUGAGGAGAUUGAGGUUUGGGAAAUAAAAAAUGUUAUUUGGGAAUUUUCCUGGCAAAUCACAACCAGCAAGACUGAGAGACCUUAGAGAAGAGGAUAGAUUCAUGAAGACAUGAGCAUUAACAGAAGACAUGUCCAUUCCAUCCAAAAACAGAUGUCUGACCUCGGUUAGGUUGUGAACAAGUCCCUCCAGAGCAUGUUUGUCAAUUGUAAAUUGCUCAUACUUAUCAGUCCAAGAGGAGAGAUCGAGUGAAACCAAUUUUGGCAGGUGGGAGACUUGGGAUGGGACUUCUCCUACAAACCCUGUACGAGAAAGGUUGAGGUAGAAUAGGCUUGUAAACCGACCGAACUCGGAUGGCAUUUUGGAAAGAUUAAAAUGAUUGUAGGCAAGGUUGAGUUUUUGAAGGUGAGGAAGAAGGAAGAGAGUGGUAUUGGAAGGGAAGUUGCCAUAUAGCCAACUGCAACUCAAGUCAAGGGCAAUAACAUGAGCAUUUAGGUGGUCGCAAGUGACCCCAUCCCAUGAGCAGCAAUCUGUACCCUCCUUCCAUGAAUUUGUCUUGGGAUAAGAUUUAAGGCCAGUAAUAUAAUCGCAAGACAAAGAAGCAACCUUUUUUAUGGAAAAAGAGUCCUUAAACUGGAUUAGUGAAGAGCAGGAGUGAGAUUCUGAAGAAGAAAAAGAAGCAUAAAGAUGGGGAAAGAAGAGGAAUAGGCAGAGAAAGAGAUAGGGGGCCAUGUUAUGUUUGUAGAGGAAGAAGGAUAGGAAUGGUAUUUAUAGGCAACAAAUAAUACCACAACAUUGGUGUCUUUUACAUUGAAAAGCUAUGGAUAUUAGAUUUUCAAAGUUUUUGUAUUUUUCACAAUCAUCAGCAACCACUUGGUCUUGUUUUUACCAUACAUUUUUCGAUUUUUUUAUAGCAAAAUGUUGUAUAUCAUUUGAACUCCCUAAACAACUAAAAAAAUUAAGAUUGAGGAAGAAGACUGCUGGAAAUUUAAUCCAUCGAUUCUAUAAAAACGUGUAUACCUAUACAUAUAAUAAUCUCAUAAUUCAAAUCUAAAAUCUCAUUUGUUAUAAAUUAUGAUAAACUUAUUUGGGAAUAGCUAUUUUUCAUUAAUUAAAUUAUUUCUCUUUUAAUCAAGUAAAAAAUUAAAACUAAAAAGACAUUUAAAUAAUUUAAAUAUCAUUUAAAUUUACAAUCUGUGAUUUUAUAAUAGAAUAUGCAUUAAGGAUUUGCACACACACAGACAUGUUGUGAAGAUUGAGUGAAAUACUAGCUGUCCAAUUAAAUAUAAAAAAUGUCUUUGUUUUUCUGUUGGUAAUGAACAGGAGCCAAAUGUUGAAGUGGCUGGAACUUGUCUUGUAUUGCUUGCCUGCAGAUUUUGGUAUGUUUGAAAUGUAUGGAGAUGUGCCAAGUGGAACUAUUUUGGGGCUUAUCACUACCUCUGUGUCACACAACAGAACACAAAAUAAAAUAAUCAAAUCAGAUCUUUGAAUAUUGAAAUACCAAAAGUUAAAAGAGUACAUGCACUACAACCAAAAGUUUCGAUAUAUGAGGGUAGUGGGACAUGUAUGCUUGUGACCAAUUGGCUAGAAUUACAGGUCUGAAAUGUGGAGAACGUGUGGAUGUAAUUUUGCCCAUUUAUUACAAAUUGAUAAAACUGCAAUAUAAGUGCUUACUAUUUUAACUUUGUUACAAAUUAGUCCUUUUUUCUAAAAUUUAGGGAUUUAUAUAACUCAUUUUCAGAAAUUGACUCAAUUCUUUAAUAGUCAUUGUCGAAAACAUUAUAGAAUACCAAGCUUACGAAUUUGAAAGCAUUAUUGAAAACAAUUAUUAUUUUCAUAAAAUCAUUCAUCAAAUUUUUGUUUUCAAAUUUCAUACAUGAAAUUAACAAAUAAAGAUAGCUCUAAAUAGCAAAACCCAAUAUGUUUUAUCCAAAUUGAUAAAGAUGUUGAUGCAACAUUUUAGAUUGCGAAUUCCUUCAUCACAUUUGGAAUCCUAACCACAGGGACUUGCAAGCCUAUUACGAGUGCUAUGAUAAUCAAAUAAAAUUCAAUUCAAUUUUAAGUUCCAUAUAUAUAACACUUACAUGGCUACAAAAUGUGUGUGUGUGUGUAAGUGUCCUCAACCACAAACAAUCCAAAUUUGCACAGAAACCACCCAUUACAUAUAGGUUUGCCAAUGAGAUGGCAAGCAGACUGCUAGCUAGAAAUUCAUGCAUCUUUGAAUCACCAAUUCAAUUAAUAAGCUUAACUAAAGGAAAUAAGGACUUUACAUCCACCAAUUAAAGCAACCUAUAUGUACCCUUUUACAGUCUGCAUUGUUCCAUGUUUCAAUUCAUUACAUCAUUCCUUCAACUCUGCUAUAUAUUAUUACUUUCUCCAUAUAACCAAACCUUUUACUGCUAACUUGUAAAAAAAAUUAUGAAAAUACAACACAGAUCAUUGACACAUUUUGUUCUCCUUUCUCCUUUACUGAGCAGUAGCAAAGAUUAUCGAGACUAGAUUGAAAGUCAUGAAAGAAGACAUAAACAACAACACCAUACAAAAUGUUACACUCAAACAAACUAUUACAGAUAGUACGAAAUGCAAUGAAAGACAGAGGAAUUGGUACAAUAAUAAAGACAGACACGUAACAAUGCGACCCUUCACCAUAGGCAAAACGGUCUACAGAACAAGAAAUUAUGAAAAUACAACACUAAAUCUUGAACAUCGUUUGCAGUAAUUAGAUCCUUCUUCGUCUAUUGCUUCGAUUGCCUUUCUUUGCUUUUCUUCUUCGCCUCUUCUCUUGUUGGUUUUCAACCAAAUUCACCAACCAUUUCGGCUUACCAGUUUGGAAAACAACAUAUCCCACGGACAUUCCGAACACCACUCCGCAUCCAUAACCUAUCAACACCACUUUCCAACCAAAAGCAAUGUUUGAUUUUGAGCCAUCUUUUUCAAGCACAUUUGGAGGUGCUGGCUCAAUGAUGUUGCAACCUUUCGAGACCGGAAACCCACAUAGUCCCUUAUUCCCUUCAUAUGAAUCAUUUCCAAAUGUGUUGAAUUGUUUUCCUUGAGGAAUCUGACCAUGGAGUUGAUUUUCAGAAACAUUUAAGGACGAAAGAAAUGGCAGAUCUGCCAAUCUAUUUGGAAUCGUCCCAGACAACCUGUUUGAAGACAGGUCCAACCAUUCAAGAGUUGUCAAAUUCCCUAUUGAGGUGGGGAUACCACCAUUAAGGUUAUUAUGAGAAAGGUUGAGCCCUUUCAGUAAGUUAAGCUUCCCAAUAACCUUUGGAAUACCCCCUUCAAACUGAUUGUUUGAUAGAUCAAUGAUCAUCCACAUGGUAAAAAUUUUCACCAAUUCCAUAUAUUGUCCUUUCAUAACAAUUCCAAUGGAAUAGGUAUAGAAGCCACUACCUGUCGGAUCAUACACCCCCAUGUACGACAUUUUACUCCCAGCCUUCUCUAGAUUUAUGAUAGCCUUGAAGCUGUUGAUGUAUCUCACUGGUAGGGGUCCAGAAAAAUAAUUACUUGAGAGAUCAAAAAUUUGGAUUUUAGAGAAAAAAGGGCUAGACUUGGAGCUAUUGACACAUAAGGAACCAUGCAUAUGAUUUGACUUCAAUACAAGAACUUGUAGCUGUGGAAGACUUCCCAACCAAUGAGGAAAUGUAUCAUUGAUCUUGUUGUUACCAAGAUCUAGCACUUCCAGACCUCUACAAUUAAGGAUGGAUGGUGUCAACGGCCAUUCUAACAAAUUUUCAUUUAAGUUGAAAUUACUCAAUUGGCAUCCCUUUGCAAAUGUUGGAGGGAUCGUCCCAUAAAACUUGUUCUUCUUCAGAUUCAAGAAUUCAAGGCUGUUGCUCAAAUUUCCAAAACAUUGCGGAAUUGUUCCACUCAAGUAGUUGUAGGACAAAUCAAGAAUUCGAAGAUAAGUCGCAUUGCAUAUUAAAGAAGGGACCACUCCAUUGAAACUAUUAUUUGAGAUCAGAAAGACAUUGAUCGUCGAUGCUGGAAUGAGAAGAUCUCCACGGAUCAAAUUGGAGCUUAAGUCAAGAACUUCAAUAUUCUUCCAUGGAAAGUGCUCAACUUCUGUCAAAGAGUUGUGAGAUACGUUUAAGUAAGUCAAAGAGUCAUUCCCCACCUCUUGCAUCCACUGUGGAAUCUUGCCUUCAAUUUUGUUGCAAGAGAGGUCUAACCUUUCCAAACUUUUAAGCCCUUUUAAAAACUGGGGGAAUUCACUAAGAUUGCAAGAUGACAAAUAUAAGUAUCUAAGAUUAACAGUAGAAGUAGUAUUAGAUGCUAAGGAUAGGCUGUUAUAUGAAAGGUCGAGAUAUUCGAGAUUUGGAAGGGUUGAGAACAUACGAAACUCUAUCACACCACUAAGAUUAUUUGAGGAUAAGCUGAGUUGGGUAAGACUGAGAAGUUGGAAUAUUGAAGAUGGAAGAGAACCUUGGAGUUUAUUAUUGUUUAGAUAUAAAUAUUCUAGUGAUUUGGAUUGGAAUUCUUUGAUAUGCCCACUGAAUUGAUUUUGAAAGAGAAUUAUAUACUUUAAGGAGGGAGCAGUAUACAACCAUGACGGAAGUGUUCCAUUGAGUAAAUUGUCAGAUAAGCCAAAAUAUAUUAGAUUAGGAAAAGCGGUUACCUCAUCUGGAAUGGAACCUUCUAAUGAAUUUUCAGAUAUUCCCAAGUAUUCCAGCUGCGUUAGGUUUAGAAUUGACAAUGGAAUUUGUCCACUCAAUUGGUUCUGCGAGAAGUCUAAAUGAGUGAGUUGCAAGAGGUUCCCCAAUGAUCUUGGAAUUUGUCCACUCAAUUGGUUCCAUCCCAAGUCUAAAUGAGUGAGUUGCAAGAGGUUCCCCAAUGAUCUUGGAAUUUGUCCACUCAAUUGGUUAUGCGACAAGUCUAAAUGAGUGAGUUGGAACAGGUUCCCGAAUGAUCUUGGAAUUUGUCCACUCAAUUGGUUAUGCGACAAGUCUAAAUGAGUGAGUUGCAAGAGGUUCCCCAAUGAUCUUGGAGCCGGUCCUGAUAAGUUGGAAUAGGAGAGAUGUAAAAACUUCAAGGACACAAGAUUCCCCAUCGAGUCAGGCAAUCCUCCAAAAAUAUUUGUGACUGAAAUUAUCAAUUACUCCAAAGAUGAUAAAUUUGUGAUUGAGACAGACAAUCCUUGAAAGAAAGAAUUUCCUGAUAGAUCUAAGUACUUUAAGGCCUGUAGAUUAUCAACUGAAUCAAUGAAUUCUGUAGAGAAGGACAUGGAUGACAGAUCCAAAUGUUCAAGAUUGCUGCUCCGAUUGAACUUCAAAGCAUCAAGAUUGAGGUUUUGGUCGCCUCCCAAGUUGAGGAGAUUGAGGUUUGACAAAUCAAAAAUGUUUUUUGGGAAUUUUCCUUGCAAAUCACAACCACCAAGACUGAGAGACCUUAGAGAAGAGGAUAGAUUCAUGAAGACAUGAGCAUUAACAGAAGACAUGUUGAUUCCAUCAAAAAACAGAUGUCUGACCUCGGUUAGGUUGUGAACAAGUCCCUCCAGAGCUUGUUUGUCAAUUGUUUUUUCAUGAGCCCAACCGGAGAGAUCAAGUGAAACCAAUUUUGACAGGUGGGAGACUUGGGAUGGGGCUUCUCCUGCAAACCAUGUAUGAGAAAGGUUGAGGUAGAAUAGGCUUGUAAACCGACCGAACUCGGAUGGAAUUUUGGAAAGAUUAAAAUCAUUGUAGGCAAGGUUGAGUUUUUGAAGGUGAGGAAGACGGAAGAGAGUGGUAUUGGAAGGGAAGUUGCCAUAUAGCCAACUGCAGCUCAAGUCAAGGGCAAUAACAUGAGCAUUUAGGUGGUCACAAGUGACCCCAUCCCAUGAGCAGCAAUCUGUACCCUCCUUCCAUGAAUUUGUCUUGGGAUAAGAUUUAAGGCCAGCAAAAUUAUCGCAAUACGAGGAAGCAUCCUGUGUUAUGGAAAAAGAGUCCUUAAACUGGAUUACUGAAGAGCAGGAGUGAGAUCCUGAAGAAGAAAAAGAAGCAUAAAGAUGGGGAAAGAAGAGGAAUAGGCAGAGAAAGAGAUAGGAGGCCAUGUUAUGUUUGUAGAGGAAGAAGAAGGAUAGGAAUGGUAUUUAUAGGCAACAAAUAAUACCACAACAUUGGUGUCUUUUACAUUGAAAAGCUAUGGAUAUUAGAUUUUCAAAAUUUUUGUAUUUUUCAGAAUCACUUUGUCUUCUUUUUAUCAUAUAUUUUUCAUUCUUAAAAUUGGAUGCUUUUUUCUUAGCAAAAUCUUAUAUUUGAUUUGAACUCCUUAAACAACUAAAAAAAUUAAGAUAUUGAUGAGAUUACAAAGUAGAUUGACUUAGGGCCAGUUCUUUGCCCUGGUUGAAAAGUACUUUUACACCCAAAAGUGCUUUUUGGGUGAAAAGCAAUGAAGAAUAUACAUUAUCUGGGGCCAGUGGAGUAACUUUUUUAAAGCACUUCAGCACUUUCCAAAAGAUGAAAAAGCAGAAAAUUUCUACUUUUCCGGCAAAAAAGUGCUUCUAAGCUGCUCAUUUACUUUUUUAGCCACACCCACAAAUUGCUCUCAUCUCUUCUCUCAUCGCUGCUUCUUUGAUCCUCUGCUGCUUCUUUGAUCCUUUGCUGGUGCUGGUUCUCUGUUCUUUUGCUACUGCUGGUGCUGGUUAUUUGUUCCCCUGCUGGUUAUUUGUUCCUCUACUGGUGCUAGUUCUUUGUUCCUCUGCUGGUGCUUUGUUCCUCUUCUCCACCACCGGUGAGUUUAUCUUUUUUUCAUAGGAUGAGUUUUGUUGCCUGAACUUUUAUGCAUGAUGAAAUAGAUGAUAUUGGCUGCUUAGAUAAUUAACAAAACAAAUGAUGUUAGCAUAGGGUUUCUGGAAUCAAAACCCAAACUGAAAUUUAACCCUUUCUUUGUUUUGGCAUGCUUUAUUUAUUUGGGGGGUUAUAAUCCAUGCAUUCAUCCUAACAAAAACUAAAAACAUUGAGUUGAAAUAGAAAACCUAUUUCUCUGGCUCUGUGUCUCUCUCUAUCCGUAUCAAUCAGUUCUGAAAACCCGGAUUCGAUAUUCUACCACUCCCACCAAAUACAGCAAUCCCUUAAUACAAUCUUUGAGUUCCUGUAUAACAACAGACCAAUCAAGGUGGUAAAGCACAAACCUUCACAAAGGAAACAGUUUCAAGUUCAAGCUAAAAAGGCAAAAACCAGUCAAUAAAUUAAUUAGAGCCUAGACUUCAGUCAUGGGGAUACUUGCAACAGGUGAUAAAGCAUGGGCACCUUCUUCUGGUACACUCCUUACUGAUUUUUUCGAGGAUGUUAACAACGAAAUACCUGAAUAGAAUGAAGAAGAAAAUAUGAGAAAUGAUGUUCACAUUUCAAAUGAUGUUCAGAUUUCAAGUGAUGUUCACAUUUCAAAUGAUGUUCAAAUUGAUGGAACCAGUCAAAAAAGAAAAAACCCUGAGAUGUUAAGUUCACAUUUUAAAACUGGAAGAAAGAAAUCCUCAAAGCAAAUUGGAGGGGCUGCAAGAUUGUCCAGUCAAAUAGAAAAAUUAUGCAAUGCAGCUGACAGUAUGAGUCAAGCCACAUCUAGUUUGACUCCUAUUAUGGAUCCAUUUGGUAUUCCACAAGCAGUCAAAAUGCUUGACAGCAUGUCAGAAGAAGUUCCAGAAGCUAGUUCGCUAUACUUUUUCGCACUUAGAUUAUUGCUCAAUAAGGACAAGCGGAUUAUGUUUUUAUCAAUUAAUCUCAAGAUUAGAGCUUUGUGGCUUAAGACGGAAAUGGAGGAUAGUUGAAAAUUUUCUGAUCUUUUAGGGUUCAAAGAUAUCUAUUAUGUGACUAAACAACAAUGCUAAACUAGUUUUAUUAACAGUUAUUUAUGUUUGGUUUUUGGAUAUUGAAUUAUGUUCUACUUAUUUAUGUG